rnacentral:lncRNA from 1 species
GUGAUCUUGCUGUAAAAAACGGAAACUUUAGCGCUCACGAGAUUUGCUGCCAUAUUUCACUGGAGAGUGUGAUUAGGAUGAUUCUUUUUGCAUAUGAUUAAUAGACAAAUUCCUCACUUCCAUAAUUUUAUUUCAGAAUUUUUGGGGUUACAGAAGUAUUAGAAACCUACAUGUUACUACAGACUGUUCUGUUUUUGACAGAUUCUGUUUUUCGUGUGUUGUUUGCUUAUUUUGAUGAAUCUAUGGCUAGUAUCGGGGGGUAUGAACCAUAGAGAAGUUGGAAUACAGUAGGUUUAACACCAAUAUAAAUAAAGAAUGAGUUCAUUACAGUACCUUGAAGUGGUGGUUUGUUUUCUUAUACUAACGGAGCUUAUGAGAUUUUCUAGUGAGUUUUGUGUUGUGGAGUUUUCAAGUUUUGGGUAAAGAUUUGAUGGAUUUUGGAAUAAGGAGUGGCAAGAGCCUAAGCUUGGGUAUGCCCAAGGCACCCCAAUGUAAAAUUCAAGGACAACCAAAAGCCUAAGCUUGGGGAUGCCCCAGAAGGCAUCCCCUCUUUCGUCUUCGUCCAUCGGUAACUUUACUUGAUGAUAUAUUUUUAUUCACCACAUGAUAUGUGUUUUGCUUGGAGCGUCUUGUAUGAUUUGAGUCUUUGAUUUUUAGUUUAACACAAUCAUCCUUGAUGUACACACCUUUUGGGAGAGACACACAUGAAUCGGAAUUUAUUAGAAUACUCUAUGUGCUUCACUUAUAUCUUUUGAGCUAGGUAAUUUUGCUCUAUGUGCUUCACUUAUAUUUUUAAGAGCAUGGUGGUGGUUUUAUUUUAUAGAAAUUAUUGAACUCUCAUGAUUCACUUAUAUCAUUUUGAGAGUCCUCCAGAACAGCAAGGUAAUUUGCUUUGGCUAUAAAAUUAGUCCUAAUAUAAUAGGCAUCCAAGAUGGGUAUAAUAAAAACUAUCAUAAAAAGUGCAUUGAAUAUUAUGAGAAGUUUGAUACUUGAUGAUUGUUUUGAGAUAUGAAGAUGGUGAUAUUAGAGUCAUGCUAGUUGAGUAGUUAUUAAUUUGAUAAAUACUUGUUCUAAAGUUUGUGAUUCCCGUAGCAUGCACGUAUGGUGAACUGUUAUGUGAAGAAGUCGGAGCGUGAUUUAUUUAUUGAUUGUCUUCCUUAUGAGUGGCGGUCGGGGACGAGCGAUAGUCUUUUCCUACCAAUCUAUCCCCCUAGGAGCAUGCGCAUAGUACUUUGUUUUGAUAACUAAUAGAUUUUUGCAAUAAGUAUGUGAGUUCUUUAUGACUAAUGUUGAGUCCAUGGAUUAUACGCACUCUCACCCUUCCACCAUUGCUAGCCUCUCUAGUACCGUGCAACUUUCGCCGGUACCAUAAACCCACCAUAUACCUUCCUCAAAACAUCCACCAUACCUACCUCUUAUGGCAUUUCCAUAGACAUUCCGCGAUAUAUUGCCAUGCAACUUAACACCGUUCCAUUUGUUAUGACACGCUUCAUCAUUGUCAUAUUGCUUUGCAUGAUCAUGUAGUUGACAUCGUAUUUGUGGCAAAGCCACCGUUCAUAUUUUUUCAUACAUGUCACUCAUGAGUCAUUGCACAUCCCGGUACACCGCCAGAGGCAUUCACAUAGAGUCAUAUUUUGUUCUAAGUAUCGAGUUGUAAGUAAAUAAAAGUGUGAUGAUCAUCAUUAUUAGAGCAUUGUCCCAAGUGAGGAAAGGAUGAUGGAGACUAUGAUUCCCCCACAAGUCAGGAUGAGACUCCGGAUGAAAAUUAAACAAAAGAGAAAAAAGAGGCCAUCAAAAAGAGAAAAGGCCUAAAUAAGAAAAUAAAAAUAAAAAAAUGAGAGAAAAAGAGAGAAGGGACAAUGUUACUAUCCUUUUACCACACUUGUGCUUCAAAGUAGCACCAUGAUCUUCAUGAUAGAGAGUCUCCUAUGUUGUCACUUUAAUAUACUAGUGGGAAUUUUACAUUAUAGAACUUGGCUUGUAUAUUCCAAUGAUGGGCUUCCUCAAAAUGCCCUAGGUCUUCGUGAGCAAGCAAGUUGGAUGCACACCCAAUUAGUUCUUUUGUUGAGCUUUCAUACACUUAUAGCUCUAGUGCAUCCGUUGCAUGGCAACCCCUACUCACUCACAUUGAUAUCUAUUGAUGGGCAUCUCCAUAGCAAUUGAUACGCCUAGUUGAUGUGAGACUAUCUUCUCCUUUUGGCUUUCUCCACACCCACCAUUCUAUUCCACCUAUAGUGCUAUGUCCAUGGCUCACGCUCAUGUAUUGCAUGAAGAUUGAAAAAGUUUGAGAACAUCAAAAGUAUGAAACAAUUGCUUGGCUUGUCAUCGGGGUUGUGCAUGAUUUAAAUACUUUGUGUGGUGAAGAUAGAGCAUAGCCAGACUAUAUGAUUUUGUAGGGAUAACUUCCUUUGGCCAUGUUAUUUUGAGAAGACAUGAUUGCUUUGUUAGUAUGCUUGAAGUAUUAUUAUUUUUAUGUCAAUAUUAAACUUUUGUCUUGAAUCUUUCGGAUCUGAAUAUUCAUGCCACAAUAAAGAAAAUUGCAUUGAGAAUUAUGGUAGGUAGCAUUCCACAUCAAAAAUUAUGUUUUUAUCAUUUACCUACUCGAGGACGAGCAGGAAUUAAGCUUGGGGAUGCUUGAUACGUCUCCAAUGUAUCUAUAAUUUUUUUAUUGUUCCAUGCUAUUAUAUUAUCUGUUUUGGAUGUUUAAUGGGCUUUAAUAUACCUUUUUAUAUUAUUUGUGGGACUAACCUACUAACCAAGGCCCAGUGCAAAUUGCUGUUUUUUUGCCUAUUUCAGUGUUUCGCAAAAAAGGAAUAUCAAAUGGAAUCCAAACGGAAUGAAACCUUCGGGAGAGUUAUUUUUGGAACAAACGUGAUCCAGGAGACUUGGAGUUGGCAUCAAGAAAGAAGCGAGGAGGCCACGAGGCAGGGAGGCGCACCCAGGGGGGUAGGCGCGCCCCUACCCUCGUGGGCCCCUCGCAGCUCCACCGACGUACUUCUUCCUCCUAUAUACACCCAUAUACCCCGAAAACAUCCAGGAGCACCACGAGAUCCUAUUUCCACUGCCGCAACCUUCUGUACCUGUGAGAUCCCAUCUUGGGGCCUUUUCCGGUGCUCUGCCGGAGGGGGAAUCGAUCACGGAGGGCUUCUACAUCAACACCAUAGCCUCUCCGAUGAUGUGUUAGUAGUUUACCACAGACCUUUAGGUCCAUAGUUAUUAGCUAGAUGGCUUCUUCUCUCUCUUUGGAUCUCAAUACAAAGUUCUCCUCGAUCUUCUUGGAGAUCUAUUCGAUGUAACUCUUUUUGCGGUGUGUUUGCCGAGAUCCGAUUAAUUGUGGGUUUAUGAUUUGAUUAUCUAUGAAUAUUAUUUGAUUCUUCUCUGAAUUCUUAUAUGCAUGAUUUGAUAUCUUUGCAAGUCUCUUCGAAUUAUCAGUUUAGUUUGGCCUACUAGAUUGAUCUUUCUUGCAAUGGGAGAAGUGCUUAGCUUUGUGUUCAAUCUUGCGGUGUCCUUUCCCAGUGACAGCAGGGGCAGCAAGGCACGUAUUGUAUUGUUGCCAUCGAGGAUAAAAAGAUGGGGUUUAUAUCAUAUUGCUUGAGUUUAUCCCUCUACAUCAUGUCAUCUUGCCUAAUGCGUUACUCUGUUCUUAUGAACUUAAUACUCUAGAUGCAUGCUGGAUAGCGGUCGAUGUGUGGAGUAAUAGUAGUAGAUGCAGAAUCAUUUCGGUCUACUUGUCACGGAUGUGAUGCCUAUAUUCAUGAUCAUUGCCUUAGAUAUCAUCAUAACUAUGCGCUUUUCUAUCAAUUGCUCAGCAGUAAUUUGUUCACCCACCGUAAUAUAUGCUAUCUUGAGAGAAGAUACUAGUGUAACCUAUGGCCCCCGGGUCUACUUUACAUCAUAUUAGUUUCCCGUCAACUAGCCAUUUCUGUCGCCGUUUAUUUUACAAUCUUUAUAUUCAAAUCUAUACAACAAAAAUACCAAAAAUAUUUAUCUUAUUAUCUUUAUCAGAUAUCACUUUCGUAAGUGACCGUGAAGGGAUUAACAACCCCUUUAUCGCAUUGGUUGUGAGGUUCUUGUUUGUUUGGGCAGGUACUAGGCGAUUUGCGUGUAGUCUCCUACUCGAUUGAUACCUUGGUUUUCAAAAAGUGAGGGAAAUACUUACGCUACUUUGCUGCAUCACCCUUUCCUUUUCAUCGGAAAACCAACGCAUGCUCAAGAGGUAGCAUCCACUUGCUCCCUUUUUAUGUAAGUAAGAGUCUACACUCUUACGUGGGAGGAGUGUGAAACACCGCGGAUCUGAUUUUGAUCGAGGGAUAACUGUUCCCUGCGAAAUAAUGGAGAACUGUUAGCAAUUAUAGCAUAAUAAUUAGGGCAUCUCCAGUGCAGGCCAACAAAUUUACAUCGGCAUCUCUCCGAGGACACUGAUGGAUGCCAUCCAAUGCUGCGUGCAUACCUUUCGACAACUAUAUGAACUAACCCGACCAAAUUCAUGCAAACAAAGCAAAUUUCAAAUUAACCGGAUGAAUUCAUUACAUUUCAAAAACUUUUCCUAUAAACUGGACGAAAUUCAUUACAUAUUUCGCACAAACCAUACUAAAACCUACUAUAAACCUAAUCUAAACGAUCGCCGCCGCCCGACCUGUUGGGGAACGUAGUAAUUUCAAAAAAAUUCCUACGCACACGCAAGAUCAUGGUGAUGCAUAGCAAGAAGAGGGGAGAGUGUGAUCUACGUACCCUUGUAGACCGAUAGUGGAAGCGUUAUGACAACACAGUUGAUGUAGUCGUACGUCUUCACGGCCCGAUCGAUCAAGCACCGAAACUACGGCACCUCUGAGUUCUAGCACACGUUCAGCUCGAUGACGAUCCCCGGACUCCGAUCCAGCAAAGUGUCGGGGAAGAGUUCCGUCAGCACGACGGCGUGGUGACGAUCUUGAUGUUCAACUGUCGCAGGGCUUCGCCUAAGCACCACUACAAUAUUAUCGAGGAGUAUGGUGGAAGGGGGCACCACACACGGCUAAGAAAAUGAUCACGAAGAUCAACUUGUGAGUCUAGGGGUGCCCCCUGCCCCCGUAUAUAAAGGAGCAAGGGGAGGAGGCCGGUCGGCCCUAGGGCGCGCCAAGGAGGAGGAGUCCUCCUCCUAGUAGGAGUAGGACUCCCCUCUUUCCUACUCCUACUAGUAGGGCUCCCUGGCCUGAACCUCCAGCUCCUCCUAUGCCACCCCACCUAAUGAACUUCCAAGCCUGGCUGGCCUCUCAGGGUUUGACUGUUAUGCAUGGAGUGGUUCCUGACAAUAAUGUCACUGACAAUCCUAUGCAAGCAUGGCAUGAGGCAAUUACUGAAUCUUCUGAAUAUACAUCCUCGGAAGAAUCUGAUGCCACUGUCUCCGACUUGCUUGUUAUGCCAGUGACUUCUCCAGGAGCCUUUUCUGCUGCUCUGGCGGCUCCAUCUACUGCUGCUGACAUGGUUACCAUCUCUGUCGACAUUCAUGACCAAGGUAUGCGCUUUGGUCUAUCUGCUCAGGGCGAUUCCCUCAUGGAAAUCCUUUUGGCCAACCCUGUUCCCCGACAGCAACUCAAUACUGCACUUUUCAAUGCCAUCCGGCCUAUACUUGCUACAAGGGGACCAUGGGCUGCUGGUUUUGGAUUCAGACACGAGGUUAUGCACUUUGAAGUUCAGGUCACUGCUGGCCCUACUGGCAUUCAAUUCUCACAAAAUACUCUGCUUGCUCCGGCAACUACUGCAUCACUACUCAUUGAGGAACUUUCUGACAGCCAGACACCACUUGUUGAUCAGUCCAGGCUGGAACCACAGGGAUCCAUGGAAGCUUCUCAUGUGCUGCUGACUGAAACUGAGGAUUCUGCCACUGUGGUGGUACAAACCAACACUUUCAGUUCUGAUUUGGAGACUGAUUCACACCUCAUGGACUUGGCUGCACGUCACUCUGAAACUCAGACUGGCCUGCUUCAGAUUGCAACAGGUGCCAUUUCUGAAACUACAAGCAGUGCGGUGGGUUCUUCAGCUCAUAAACGCAAAGGAAAGGCGCCAGUCCCCAUUGACACUUCCACUCUCCGUCGCAGCACUCGUACUAACAAAUAUGAUGGAUUUCGCACCACCUCUCUGUCUGAAGCCAAGGUCUCUAAAUCCAAGGUAAAACCGCGCAAUGUUCCUACAGCCGUCUCUGCUGGUCCUGCAACUGCUGCUUCAACUCAGAUGGCUCCUGAAGAUCUCCCUCCUCCAACUGACAUUGCCACAAUGCAAGCCAUUGGCACAAAUCUAUGUGCUAUCCCGGAGGAGGAGCUCACGGUUGCUGCUUUCACUGAAGACCCGGCGGGGACCUCUUCAUCAUCCUCAGCUUGAUUCCUCGCUUUAUUUCUUCGCUUAAUGGCUCUUUUGCAGUCGUGGAACGUACUUUGUUGGAAUAUUCGUGGUCUUAAUGCGGACAAAAAGCGCUUAGCCUUAUCUAAUGCGAUCCAGUCUAGUGGAUGUGCGAUUAUCUGUCUUCAAGAGACUAAAAUGCAGACGUUUGAUGCUAGCACUCUCAAGUUGAUUUGUCCAAAACGCUUUGAUAAAUUUGCGUAUAUCCUGUCUGUCGGAGCGUCGGGGGGAAUUGUUACGAUCUGGAAUAGUGCUCUCUUCUCUGGUACGAUCGCCUUUGAGGAACAAUUUGCGUUAGGCGUCACCUUCACUUCCACUCAAAAUGCGCAUACUUGGACGUUGGUUAACAUCUACGGCCCGUGUCAAGGGGAGCAGCGUAAUACUUACACUAAAUGGUUGUUUGACUUGACAAUUCCGCUGACUGAAGAUUGGCUACUGCUUGGAGACUUCAAUUUCAUUCGAUCGCCUAACAAUCGAAACCUACCAGGGGGAAACGCCCAGGAUAUGUUUACUUUCAACGACUUCAUCCGUGAGCAAGACUUAACUGAACUUCCUAUUAAAGGUAGGGCUUACACCUGGUCGAACAUGCAGAUCAACCCCCUGCUCGAACAACUAGACUGGUUCUUCACCUCGCUCAACUGGACGACAUCCUUCCCCAAUACCAUGGUAAACCCUUUGGGCCGCCCUGUAUCUGAUCACAUUCCCUGCUCCGUGGUCAUUCAAUCCACAAUCCCCCGGAGCAAGAUCUUCCGGUUUGAAACAUACUGGAUUGCGCACCCUGGCUUUAUGCAGACUGUGGAGGACGCUUGGAAUAAACCCAUAAAAUUUGGCAAAGACAAAAAUGCAGCUUCGAUCCUUUGUCAAAAACUGAAAGCUGUCAGAUACGCCCUAUCCCACCGGAGCAAAAAGAUUUCCCGCCUAAAAAUUGCCAUUGAGAACUCAAAUAAGGCCCUUCUUGAGCUGGAUAGUCUUGAAGAACGACGUACACUUUCGAUCCCUGAGCGUAACUUCAAAAAAAUCCUCAAAAAACACCUCCUACGACUCCUUAGUUACCAAAAGGAGUACUGGAAGAAGAGAUGCACAAUCCGUUGGAUUAAGUUUAGCGAUGAAAACUCGAAAUUUUUUCAAGCUGUUGCCACGGAACGAUUCAGACGAAACUGCAUUGCUACCCUAAAAUCUGAAAAUGGGUAUACCGUCAAGGAUCAUGCAAGUAAAGAAGCUAUCUUAUUUCAAGCCUUCAAACAAAGGUUGGGUUCUUGCUCGAAACCUAACAUGAAACUCAACCUAUCGUCUCUCCUCCGUCACCAAGUGGACUUUGAGCGCCUCACUGCCCCGUUUGCAACGCAUGAAAUUGAUGCUGCGAUUAAGGAAAUGCCCCCGGACAAAGCCCCGGGCCCGGAUGGUUUCAAUGGAGCCUUUCUGAAAGCUUGUUGGCCUAUCAUUAAAAAUGAUUUCUACAACUUAUGCAAUGAAUUUCACAGAGGAGACUUGAAUCUUGAAAGUGUAAAUUAUGGUUAUAUCACUCUGAUACCAAAGAAUGCCUCCCAGGAGACGGUCAAUGACUUCCGCCCAAUCACUUUGCUCAAUUGUUGCCUUAAGCUGAUCACCAAACUACUGGCCAAUCGUCUCCAAAAAAUCAUCUUGCAGAUAGUCCACCGUAAUCAAUACGGGUUCUUGCAUGGACGAUCCAUACAUGACUGCUUAGCGUGGGCCUUCGAGUAUAUUCACCAGUGUCAAGCCUCGCAAAAUGAGAUUAUCCUACUGAAACUUGAUUUUGCCAAAGCCUUUGACACUAUUCAACACUCGGCUAUGCUCCACAUUAUGAAAAAAGUGGGUUUCAAUGACAAAUGGCUCCACUGGAUGCAAAGUAUCUUCAAUUCUGGCAAAUCCUCAGUCAUUCUAAAUGGUACUCCAGGAAGUUCUUUCCUAUGCAAGUGCGGUGUGCGACAAGGUGACCCCCUCUCGCCUCUGACAUUUGUUAUAGCUGCGGAUCUCCUUCAAUCUGCAAUCAACGAAGCUCUUCGGAAUAAUAUCCUGAACUUACCAAUCCAACGUGACACUAACGGGGAUUACCCAGUUAUCCAAUACGCGGAUGACACACUCAUCAUCCUGCCAGCUUGCACCCGGCAACUCACCAAGAUUAAGGAAAUUCUGGAGGAUUACGCCACGUCAGUAGGGCUCAAAAUCAACUUCCAUAAGUCCACACUUGUGCCAAUUAACACGCCUCCUGACAAAUGCAAAAAACUGGCUGAGCUGUUAGGUUGCACAGUGGGUUCCAUGCCGUUCACAUAUCUGGGGCUGCCCCUAGGCACCACUCGUCCGACCGUGCUGGAUCUGGCUCCGCUUGUUUGCAAAGCAGAAAGAAACAUUACGGCUGCUAUGUCUCUAAUGUCGUACGCGGGGAAACUUGCUCUAAUGAAUUCGUUGGUAACCUCUCUUAUCAUGUUCACUAUGGGUACCAUUCGCAUCCCACCAAAAAUUAUGGCCCAACUAGACAAGAUCAGAAGGCAUUGCCUAUGGCAAAAACGGACCGAAGAUGGGACCAAGAGCAAUUCUCUUGCGGCUUGGGACAUGGUCUGCAGGCCUAAGAAAAAUGGUGGACUGGGAGUUGUCAACCUCAAAAUACAGAAUGACGCUUUGCUGCUUAAGUUUCUCCACAAGUUUUACAACAGGCAUGAUAUCCCUUGGGUACAUCUCAUUUGGGAUUCCUACUAUGGUGACUCCAUCCCUCAUGCACAUGAUGCAUGUGGCUCCUUCUGGUGGAAAGUCUUAACUCAGCUAAUGCCCAUAUAUCGCGGCGUCACGCACGUAAAAAUUGGGAAUGGAUCUUCUACGCUCUUUUGGAAAGAUAAUUGGAGCCAGUCCAUAUAUGCUGAUAGUUGCCCGAGAGCCUACUCAUAUGCUAUCUCUGAAGAUGUCUCGGUACAACACAUUUUCACGUCCCCCCAUCUGCAGGAAAACUUUCAUCUCCCGCUUUCUAUUCAGGCCCAUGAUGAGCUGCGAUCCAUCCAACUUGAAGUGGCCGAAAACACUCUUACGGAGGAACAUGACACCUGGCAGUGUAUUUGGGGCGGCAAUACUUUUCAGACAUCAUCAUACUACAGAUUCUACUUCAGACAUGUAACUGCCCAUGAAGCCUUCGGUUGGUUAUGGAAAGCAAAGUGUACUCCCAAGCUCAAAACAUUCGGGUGGUUCCUGCUGGUUGAUCGCCUCAACACCAGAAACAUGCUCAAGAGGAGGCACUACAACAUUGGGACAAACUUCGACUGCCUCCUUUGUGGCCAACAUGUUGAAGAAACGGUGGAACACCUCUUCUUUCACUGCACAUUUAGUCAGGAAUGUUGGCUACAUCUAGGCUUCAACUGGUCUUUGCAGCAUGACAGACUUGACAUGAUCAAACAUCAGAAGACCGUGCACCCUAGAAAGAUGUGGAUGGAUAUUUUUUUGAUGUCGGCCUGGAGUCUCUGGAAGGAGAGAAACAACCACCACUUUAGGAAAAUUAAGCCAUCAGUUGCUUCCUGGAAACAGAGGUUUAAGUUGGACUUUGACAAUCUUACAUAUAGAGUGAAACCUUCCAAACAACAUAUUGUAUCUGCCAUAGUUGGGUCCAUACAGUAGGCGUCUUGUAAACUAGGGUGUCCCAUGGUGGUGCCUCAACCACCCAUGUAUGUAAAUCACACAUGUAAUUGUACCCCCUGAGGUUUUAGUAAUAUAUAUGCAGUAGGAACCUUUCCUACUGUCUUCACAGUCAAAAAAAAGGGGAGAGGGAGAAGGAAAGGGGGCGCUGCCCCCCCUCUCCUAGUCCAAUUCGGACCAGGGGGGCGCAGCCCACCCAGGCUGCCCCUCUCUCUCUCCACUAGGGCCCAUAAGUCCCAUUACUUCUCCCGGGGGGUUCCGGUAACCCUUCGGCACUCCGGUUUCUCCAAAAUCACCCGGAACACUUCCGGUGUCCGAAUAUAGCCGUCCAAUAUAUAAAUCUUUAUGUCUCGACCAUUUCGAAACUCCUCGUCAUGUCCGUGAUCACAUUCAGGACUCCGAACUAACUUCGAUACAUCAAAACUCAUAAACUCAUAAUAUAACUGUCAUCGAAACUUUAAGCAUGCGGACCCUACGGGUUUGAGAACAAUGUAGACAUGACCGAGACAUGUCUCUGGUCAAUAACCAAUAGCGGAACCUGGAUGCUCAUAUUGGCUCCCACAUAUUCUACGAAGAUCUUUAUCGGUCAGACCGCAUAACAACAUACGUUGUUCCCUUUGUCAUCGGUAUGUUACUUGCCCGAGAUUCGAUCGUUGGUAUCUCAAUACCUAGUUCAAUCUUGUUACCGGCAAGUCUCUUUACUCGUUUCGUAAUACAUCAUCUCGCAACUAACUCAUUAGUUGCAAUGCUUGCAAGGCUUAUGUGAUGUGCAUUACCGAGAGGGCCCAGAGAUACCUCUUCGACAAUCGGAGUGACAAAUCCUAAUCUCGAAAUACGCCAACCCAACAUUUACCUUUGGAGACACCUGUAGAGCUCCUUUAUAAUCACCCAGUUACGUUGUGACGUUUGGUAGCACACAAAGUGUUCCUCCGGCAAACGGGAGUUGCAUAAUCUCAUGGUCAUAGGAACAUGUAUAAGUCAUGAAGAAAGCAAUAGCAACAUACUAAACGAUCGGGUGCUAAGCUAAUGGAAUGGGUCAUGUCAAUCACAUCAUUCUCCUAAUGAUGUGAUCCCGUUAAUCAAAUGACAACACAUGUCUAUGGUUAGGAAACAUAACCAUCUUUGAUUGAUGAGCUAGUCAAGUAGAGGCAUACUAGUGACGUUUAGUUUGUCUAUGUAUUCACACAAGUAUUAUGUUUCCGGAUAAUACAAUUCUAGCAUGAAUAAUAAACAUUUAUCAUGAUAUAAGGAAAUAAAAUAAUAACAUUAUUAUUGCCUCUAGGGCAUAUUUCCUUCAGUCUCCCACUUGCACUAGAGUUAAUAAUCUAGAUUACACAGUAAUGAUUCUAACACCCAUGGAGCUUUGGUGCUGAUCAUGUUUUGCUCGUGGAAGAGGCUUAGUCAAUGGGUCUGCAACAUUCAGAUCCGUAUGUAUCUUGCAAAUCUCUAUGUCUCCAACCUGGACUAGAUCCCGGAUGGAAUUGAAGCGUCUCUUGAUGUGCUUGGUUCUCUUGUGAAAUCUGGAUUCCUUUGCCAAGGCAAUUGCACCAGUAUUUUCACAAAAUAUUUUCAUUGGACCCGAUGCACUAGGUAUGACACCUAGAUCAGAUAUGAACUCCUUCAUCUAGACUCCUUCGUUUGCUGCUUCUGAAGCAACUAUGUACUCCGCUUCACAUGUAGAUCCCGCCACAACGCUUUGUUUAGAACUGCACCAACUGACAGUUCCACCGUUUAAUGUAAACACACAUCCGGUUUGCGAUUUAGAAUCGUCCGGAUUAGUGUCAAAGCUUGCAUCAACAUAACCAUUUACGAUGAGCUCUUUGUCACCUCCAUAUAUGAGAAACAUAUCCUUAGUCCUUUUCAGGUAUUUCAGGAUGUUCUUGACCGCUGUCCAGUGAUCCACUCCUGGAUUACUUUGGUACCUCCCUGCUAGACUUAUAGCAAAACACACAUCAGGUCUGGUACAUAGCAUUGCAUACAUGAUAGAGCCUAUGGCUGAAGCAUAGGGAACGUCUUUCAUUUUCUCUCUAUCUUCUGCAUUAGUCGGGCAUUGAGUCUUACUCAAUUUCACACCUUGUAACACAGGCAAGAAUCCUUUCUUUGCUUGAUCCAUUUUGAACUUCUUCAAAACUUUGUCAAGGUAUGUGGUUUGUGAAAGUCCAAUUAAGCGUCUUGAUCUAUCUCUAUAGAUCUUAAUGCCCAAUAUGUAAGUAGCUUCACCGAGGUCUUUCAUUGAAAAACUCUUAUUCAAGUAUCCCUUUAUGCUAUCCAGAAAUUCUAUAUCAUUUCCGAUUAGUAAUAUGUCAUCUACAUAUAAUAUCAGAAAUGCUACAGAGCUCCCACUCACUUUCUUGUAAAUACAGGCUUCUCCACAAGUCUGUAAAAAACCAAAUGCUUUGAUCACACUAUCAAAGCGUUUAUUCCAACUCCGAGAGGCUUGCACCAGUCCAUAAAUGGAUCGCUGGGGCUUGCACACUUUGUUAGCUCCCUUUGGAUCGACAAAACCUUCCGGCUGCAUCAUAUACAACUCUUCUUCUAGAAAUCCAUUCAGGAAUGCAGUUUUUACAUCCAUCUGCCAAAUUUCAUAAUCAUAAAAUGCGGCAAUUGCUAACAUGAUUCGGACAGACUUAAGCAUCACUACGGGAGAGAAGGUCUCAUCAUAGUCAAUCCCUUGAACUUGUCGAAAACCUUUUGCGACAAGUCGAGCUUUGUAGACAGUAACAUUACCGUCAGCGUCGGUCUUCUUCUUGAAGAUCCAUUUAUUCUCAGUUGCUUGCCGAUCAUUGGGCAAGUCAACCAAAGUCCAUACUUUGUUCUCAUACAUGGAUCCCAUCUCAGAUUUCAUGGCUUCAAGCUGUUUUGCGGAAUCUGGAGUCACCAUCGCUUCUUCAUAGUUCGUAGGUUCAUCAUGAUCUAGUAGCAUGACUUCCAGAACAGGAUUACCGUACCACUCUGGUGCGGAUCUUACUCUGGUUGAUCUACGAGGUUCAGUAGUAUCUUGUUCUGAAGUUUCAUGAUCAUCAUCAUUAGCUUCCUCACUAAUUGGUGUAGGUGUCACAAAAACUGGUUUCUGUGAUGUACUACUUUCCAAUAAGGGAGUAGGUAUAGUUACCUCAUCAAGUUCUACUUUCCUCCCACUCACUUCUCUCGAGAGAAACUCCUUCUCUAGAAAGUUUCCGAAUUUAGCAACAAAAGUCUUGCCUUCGGAUCUGUGAUAGAAGGUGUAUCCAAUAGUUUCCUUUAGAUAUCCUAUGAAGACACAUUUCUCCGAUUUGGGUUCGAGCUUAUCAGGUUGAAGCUUUUUCACAUAAGCAUCACAGCCCCAAACUUUCAGAAACGACAACUUUGGUUUUUUGCCAAACCACAGUUCAUAAGGUGUCGUCUCAACGGAUUUUGAUGGUGCCCUAUUUAACGUGAAUGCGGCCGUCUCUAGAGCAUAACCCCAAAACGAUAGCGGUAAAUCAGUAAGAGACAUCAUAGAUCGCACCAUAUCAAGUAAAGUACGAUUACGACAUUCAGACACACCAUUACGCUGUGGUGUUCCAGGUGGCGUGAGUUGUGAAACUAUUCCGCAUUGUUUCAAAUGUACACCAAACUCGUAACUUAAAUAUUCUCCUCCACGAUCAGAUCGUAGGAAUUUUAUUUUCUCGUUACGAUGAUUUUCAACUUCACUCUAAAAUUCUUUGAACUUUUCAAACGUUUCAGACUUAUGUUUCAUUAAGUAGAUAUACCCAUAUCUGCUUAAAUCAUCUGUGAAGGUGAGAAAAUAACGAUAUCUGCCACGAGCCUCAACAUUCAUCGGACCACAUACAUCUGUAUGUAUGAUUUCCAACAAAUCUGUUGCUCUCUCCAUAGUACCGGAGAACAGUGUUUUUGUCAUCUUACCCAUAAGGCACGGUUCGCAAGUAUCAAGUGAUUCAUAAUCAAGUGGUUCCAAAAGUCCAUCAGUAUGGAGUUUCUUCAUGCGCUUUAUACCGAUAUGACCUAAACGGCAGUGCCACAAAUAAGUUGCACUAUCAUUAUCAACUCUGCAUCUUUUGGCUUCAACAUUAUGAAUAUGUGUGUCACUACUAUCGAGAUUUAAUAAGAAUAGACCAUUCUUCAUGGGUGCAUGACCAUAAAAGAUUUUACUCAUAUAAAUAGAACAACCAUUAUUCUCUGAUUUAAAUGAAUAACCGUUUCGCAUCAAACAAGAUCCAGAUAUAAUGUUCAUGCUCAACGCUGGCACCAAAUAACAAUUAUUUAGGUCUAAUACUAAUCCCGAAGGUAGAUGUAGAGGUAGCGUGCCGGCUGCGAUCACAUCGACUUUGGAACCAUUUCCCACGCGCAUCGUCACCUCGUCCUUAGCCAAUCUUCGCUUAAUCCGUAGUCCCUGUUUCGAGUUGCAAAUAUUAGCAACAGAACCAGUAUCAAAUACCCAGGUGCUACUGCGAGCAUUAGUAAGGUACACAUCAAUAACAUGUAUAUCGCAUAUACCUUUGUUCACCUUGCCAUCCUUCUUGUCCGCCAAAUAUUUGGGGCAGUUCCGCUUCCAGUGACCAGUCUGCUUGCAGUAGAAGCACUCAGUUUCAGGCUUAGGUCCAGAUUUGGGUUUCUUCUCUUGAGCAGCAACUUGCUUGUUGUUAUUUUUGAAGUUCCCCUUCUUCUUCCCUUUGCCCUUUUUCUUGAAACUAGUGGUCUUGUUGACCAUCAACACUUGAUGCUCCUUAUUGAUUUCUACCUCCGCAGCUUUCAGCAUUGCGAAGAGCUCGGGAAUAGUCUUAUUCAUCCCUUGCAUAUUAUAGUUCAUCACGAAGCUCUUGUAGCUAGGUGGUAGUGAUUGGAGAAUUCUGUCAAUGACGCAAUCAUCUGGAAGAUUAACUCCCAAUUGAAUCAAGUGAUUAUUAUACCCAGACAUUUUGAGUAUAUGCUCACUGACAGAACUACUCUCCUCCAUCUUGCAACUAUAGAACUUAUUGGAGAAUUCAUAUCUCUCAAUCCGGGCAUUUGCUUGAAAUAUUAACUUCAACUCCUGAAACAUCUCAUAUGCUCCAUGAUGUUCAAAACGUCGUUGAAGUCCCGAUUCUAAGCCGUAAAGCAUGGCACACUGAACUAUCGAGUAGUCAUCAGCUUUGCUCUGCCAGACGUUCAUAACAUCUGGUAUUGCUCCAGCAGCAGGCCUGGCACCCAGUGGUGCUUCCAGGACGUAAUUCUUCUGUGCAGCAAUGAGGAUAAUCCUCAAGUUACGGACCCAGUCCGUGUAAUUGCUACCAUCAUCUUUCAACUUUGCUUUCUCAAGGAACGCAUUAAAAUCCAACGGAACAACAACACGGGCCAUCUAUCUACAAUCAACAUAAACAAGCAAAAUACUAUCAGGUACUAAGUUCAUGAUAAAUUUAAGUUCAAUUAAUCAUAUUACUAGAGAACUCCCACUUAGAUAGACAUCCCUCUAUGUUGAUCAUAUCUACUAAACCAUGUCCGAUCAUCAUGUGAGAUGGAGUAGUUUCAUUGGUGAACAUCACUAUGUUGAUCAUAUCUACUAUAUGAUUCACGCUCGACCUUUUGGUCUCCGUGUUCCGAGGCCAUAUCUGUAUAUGCUUGGCUCGUCAAGUAUAACCUGAGUAUUCUGCAUGUGCAACUGUUUUGCACCCAUUGUAUUUGAAUGUAGAGCCUAUCACACCCGAUCAUCACGUGGUGUCUCAGCACGAAGAACUUUCGCAAUGGUGCAUACUCAGGGAGAACACUUCUUGAUAAUUAGUGAGAGAUCAUCUUAAAAUGCUACCGUCAAUCAAAGCAAGAUAAGAUGCAUAAAAGAUAAACAUCACAUGCAAUCAAUAUAAGUGAUAUGAUAUGGCCAUCAUCAUCUUGUGCUUGUGAUCUCCAUCUUCGAAGCACCGUCAUGAUCACCAUCGUCAUUGGUGCGACACCUUGAUCACCAUCGUAGCAUCGUUGUCGUCUCGCCAAUCUUAUGCUUCCACGACUAUCGCUACCGCUUAGUGAUAAAGUAAAGCAUUACAGCGCAAUUGCAUUGCAUACAAUAAAGCGACAACCAUAUGGCUCCUGCCAGUUGUCGAUAACUCCGUUACAAAACAUGAUCAUCUCAUACAAUAAAUAUAGCAUCAUGUCUUCACCAUAUCACAUACAACAUGCCUUGCAAAAACAAGUUAGACAUCCUCUACUUUGUUGUUGCAAGUUUUACGUGGCUGCUACGGGCUGAGCAAGAACCGUUCUUACCUACGCAUCAAAACCACAACGAUAGUUUGUCAAGUUAGUGUUGUUUUAACCUUCUCAAGGACCGAGCGUAGCCACACUCGGUUCAACUAAAGUUGGAGAAACUGACACCCACCAGCCACCUGUGUGCAAAGCACGUCGGUAGAACCAAUCUCGCGUAAGCGUAUGCGUAAUGUUGGUCCGGGCCGCUUCAUCCAACAAUACCGCCGAACCAAAGUAUGACAUGCUGGUAAGCAGUAUGACUUGUAUCGCCCACAACUCACUUGUGUUCUACUCGUGCAUAUAACAUCUACACAUAUAACCAGGCUCGGAUACCACUGUUGGGGAACGUGGUAAUUUCAAAAUUUUCCUACGCACACGCAGGAUCAUGGUGAUGCAUAGCAACGAGAGGGGAGAGUGUCGUCCAUGUACCCUCGCAGACCGUUAAGUGGAAGCGUUAUGACAACGCGGUUGAUGUAGGAUUACGUCUUCACGAUCGACCGAUCCUCAGUACCGAACGUACUGCACCUCCGCGUUCAGCACACGUUCAGCUCGGUGUCGUCCCGCGAACUCACGAUCUAGUAGAGCUCAGGGAAGAGUUUCGUCAGCACGACGGUGUGGUGACGAUGUUGAUGAAGCUACUGCAGCAGGGCUUCGCCUAAACACCGCUACAGUAUGACCGAGGUGGAUUAUGGUGGACGGGGGGCACCGCACACGGCUGGGAGAGAUCUUUGUGAUCAACCUGUGUGUCUAGAGGUGCCCCACUGCCACUGUAUAUAAAGGAGCAAGGGGGAGGCCGGCCGGCCCUUGUUGGCGCGCCUAGGAGGAGGAAUCCUCCUCCUAGUAGGAGUAGGAUUCCUCCCUUUCCUACUCUUACUAGGAGGGGGAAAGGCAGGGAGAGAAAGAGAAGGAAAGGGGCGCGCCGCCCCCCUUCUCCUAGUCCAAUUCGGACAGGGGGGAAGGGGGUGCGCUGCCUGCCCUAGGCUGGCCCCUCUCUCUUUCCCUUAUGGCCCAACAAGGCCCAUUAGCCCCCGGGAGGUUCCGGUAACCCCUCCGGUACUCUGGUAAAAUCCCGAUUUCACCCGAAACUAUUCCGAUGUCCAAAUGUAGGCUUCCAAUAUAUCAAUCUUCAUGUCUCAACCAUUUCAAGACUCCUCGUCAUGUCUGUGAUCACAUCCGGGACUACGAACUACCUUCGGUACAUCAAAACAUAUAAACUCAUAAAACCAAUCGUCACAGAACUUUAAGCGUGCGGACCCUACGGGUCCGAGAACUAUGUAGACAUGACCGAGACACAUCUUCGGUCAAUAACCAAUAGCGGAACCUGGAUGCUCAUAUUGGUUCCUACAUAUUCUACGAAGAUCUUUAUCGGUCAAACCGCACAACACUAUACGUUGUUCUCUUUGUCAUCGGUAUGUUACUUGCCUGAGAUUCGAUCGUCUGUAUCCAAUACCUAGUUCAAUCUCAUUACUCGCAAGUCUCUUUACUCAUUCCUUAAUACAUCAUCCCGUAACUAACUCAUUAGUUAUCAUGCUUGCAAGGCUUAUAAUGAUGUGUAUUACCGAGAGGGCCCAAAGAUACCUCUCCGAUAAUCGGAGUGACAAAUCCUGAUCUUGAUCUAUGCUGAUAACUUGGUUACAAAACAUGACCAUCUCAUACAAUAAAAUUUAGCAUCAUGUCUUGACCAUAUCACAUCACAACAUGCCCUGCAAAAACAAGUUAGACGUCCUCUACUUUGUUGUUGCAAGUUUUACGUGGCUGCUACGGGCUUAAGCAAGAACCAAUCUUACCUACGCAUCAAAACCACAACGAUAGUUUGUCAAGUUGGUGUUGUUUUAACCUUCGCAAGGACCGGGCGUAGCCACACUCGGUUCAACUAAAGUUGGAGAAACUGACACCCGCCAGCCACCAGUGUGCAAAGCACGUCGGUAGAACCAGUCUCGCGUAAGCGUACGCGUAAUGUCGGUCCGGGCCGCUUCAUCCAACAAUACCGCCGAACCAAAGUAUGACAUGCUGGUAAGCAGUAUGACUUAUAUCGCCCACAACUCACUUGUGUUCUACUCGUGCACAACAUCAACACAUAAAACCUGGCUCGGAUGCCACUGUUGGGGAACGUAGUAAUUUCAAAAAAAAAUCCUAUGCACACGCAAGAUCAUGGUGAUGCAUAGCAACGAGAGGGGAGAGUGUGAUCUACGUACCCUUGUAGACCGAUAGCGGAAGCGUUAUGACAACGCGGUUGAUGUAGUCGUACGUCUUCACGACCCGAUCGAUCAAGCACCGAAACUACGACACCUCCGAGUUCUAGCACACGUUCAGCUCGAUGACGAUCCCCGGACUCCGAUCCAGCAAAGUGUCGGGGAAGAGUUCCGUCAGCACGACGGCGUAGUGACUAUCUUGAUGUUCAACUGUCGCAGGGCUUCGCCUAAGCACCACUACAAUAUUAUCGAGGAGUAUGGUGGAAGGGGGCACCGGACACGGCUAAGAAAACGAUCACGAGGAUCAACUUGUGUGUCUAGGGGUGCCCCCUGCCCCCGUAUAUAAAGGAGAAAGGGGAGGAGGCUGGCCGGCCCUAGGGCGCGCCAAGGAGGAGGAGUCCUCCUCCUAGUAGGAGUAGGACUCCCCUCUUUCCUACUCCUACUAGGAGGGGGAAAGGAAGGGGGAGAGGGAUAAGGAAAGGGGGGCGCCGCCCCCCCUCUCCUAGUCCAAUUCGGACCAGAGUGGGAGGGGGCACGCGGACCACCCUGGCCGCCCCUCUCUCUCUCCACUAGGGCCCAUAAGGCCCAUUACUUCUCUCGGGGGGGUUCCGGUAACCCUCCGGCACUCCGGUUUUCUCUGAAAUCACCCGGAACACUUCCGGUGUGCGAAUAUAGCCGUCCAAUAUAUCAAUCUUUAUGUCUCGACCAUUUCGAGACUCCUUGUCAUGUCUGUGAUCACAUCCGGGACUCCGAACUAACUUCGGUACAUCAAAACUCAUAAACUCAUAAUAUAACUGUCAUCGAAACUUUAAGCGUGCGGACCCUACGGGUUCGAGAACAAUGUAGACAUCACCGAGACAUGUCUUCGGUCAAUAACCAAUAGCGGAACCUGGAUGCUCAUAUUGGCUCCCACAUAUUCUACGAAGAUCUUUAUCGGUCAGACCGCAUAACAACAUACGUUGUUCCCUUUGUCAUCGGUAUGUUACUUGCCCGAGAUUCGAUCGUCGGUAUCUCAAUACCUAGUUCAAUCUUGUUACCGGCAAGUCUCUUUACUCGUUUCGUAAUACAUCAUCUCGCAACUAACUCAUUAGUUGCAAUGCUUGCAAGGCUUAUGUGAUGUGCAUUACCGAGAGGGCCCAGAGAUACCUCUCCGACAAUCGGAGUGACAAAUCCUAAUCUCGAAAUACGCCAACCCAACAUUUACCUUUGGAGACACCUGUAGAGCUCCUUUAUAAUCACCCAGUUACAUUGUGACGUUUGGUAGCACACAAAGUGUUCCUCCGGCAAACGGGAGUUGCAUAAUCUCAUAGUCAUGGGAACAUGUAUAAGUCAUGAAGAAAGCAAUAGGAACAUACUAAAUGAUCGGGUGCUAAGCUAAUGGAAUGGGUCAUGUCAAUCACAUCAUUCUCCUAAUGAUGUGAUCCUGUUAAUCAAAUGACAACACAUGUCUAUGGUUAGGAAACAUAACCAUGUUUGAUUAACGAGCUAGUCAAGUAGAGGCAUACUAGUGACGUUUAGUUUGUCUAUGUAUUCACACAAGUAUUAUGUUUCCGGAUAAUACAAUUCUAGCAUGAAUAAUAAACAUUUAUCAUGAUAUAAGGAAAUAAAAUAAUAAACAUUAUUAUUGCCUCUAGGGCAUAUUUCCUUCACGACCACCAUGUCCGGCCAUGAACCCAAGAAAGUAGGCCAUUACCUUUGCCUCCUCCUCAUUCGCAUUGAUAACCUCCUCCUCUGGAGCACAAGGUUUUGAAGAUUUCUGCCUCCACGUCACCGUCAAGCGGCUAAUCAGCCGCCAAUGUUUAUCCCACCAAGCUUGGCGUCGACUGAGUAGAGGAGCAGUGGCCUUCCUGGGACCAGAGCGGCGGCGACCUACCAUGUACUACUCUUCCUCAUUGCCGUCUGCACCCGCGCACGCGUGCCGGCUUCGUGGUCGUGGUGGCAGAGGGUGGCCGGGGGGAGCCGAAGAUCUCCUUCGUCUGCUCCCGCGAUAGUACGUCCAAGAGAGCUUUGGAGCGCGCUCAGAGCGGAGCCGCCGAUGUCCUUCAUCUACUCCUGCGACAGUAUGUCCAAGAGAGCUUUGGAGCGCCAGGAGGCCAUGAUUGGAGUGGUGCCGAUAGAAGGAAUGGACUGGAGGAGAAUGAGUGUGGGUCUUUUGUCUACGGCUGGGAGAUGGGGCUCAAGUUAAUAUAGCGGGAAAAUGGCAAUGAGUCGCGGCAGACGGAUGGACGGCUGGCGCCGGAGUAGGUUCGUCGGCAGCCGCGUGUCAUUAAUGUGGGCGGAUGGAUGGAAGGAUGGCCGUGGUGUCAUUAAAACGUGGAGCAGUCGCUUGCACCGGGAUGCCGCGCCGGUGGGGCUAUCUCGGUCGUCGCGCUGCUGCAAUGUCGACGCCAGUGAGAGGUCGCGUCGGGCAUGAAUGCGGACGCUGCUUCAGUGACUUAACUGCAGGUGGAUUGGUUCACUGACAUGUGGGCUGCUACCUCUUGAGCACUGCGUUGGUUUUCCCUUGAAGAGGAAAGGGUGAUGCAGCAAAGUCGCGUAAGUAUCUCCCUUAGUUUUUGAGAACCAAGGUAUCAAUCCAGUAGGAGGCCACACACAAGUCCCUCGUACCUACACACACAAAUAAGAAACUCGCAACCAACACGAUAAAGGGGUUGUCAAUCCCUUCACGGUCACUUACGAGAGUGAGAUCUGAUAGAGAUAAUAAAGAUAAGAUAAAUAUUUUUGGUAUUUUUAUUAUAUAGAUUGAAAGUAAAGAUUGCAAAGUAGAAUAGAUUGGAAACUUAUAUGACGGAAAAUAGACCCGGGGGCCAUAGGUUUCACUAGAGGCUUCUCUCAAGAUAGCAUAAGUAUUACGGUGGGUGAACAAAUUACUGUCGAGUAAUUGAUAGAAAAGCGAAUAAUUAUGAGAAUAUCUAGGCAUGAUCAUGUAUAUAGGCAUCACGUCCAUGACAAGUAGACCGACUCCUGCCUGCAUCUACUACUAUUACUCCACACAUCAACAACUAUACAGCUUGCAUCUAGAGUAUUAAGUUCACAAGAACAGAGUAACACCUUAGGUAAGAUGACAUGAUGUAGAGGGAUAAACUCAAGCAAUAUGAUAUAAACCCCAUCUUUUUAUCCUCAAUGGCAACAAUACAAUACGUGUCAUUUCCCUUUCUGUCACUGGGAUCGAGCACCGCAAGAUUGAACCCAAAGCUAAGCACUUCUCCCAUUGCAAGAAAGAUCAAUCUAGUAGGCCAAACCAAACUGAUAAUUCGAAGAGACUUGCAAAGAUAACCAAUCACGCAUAGAAGAUUUCAGAGAAGAAUCAAAUAUUUUUCAUAGAUAGACUUGAUCAUAAACCCACAAUUCAUCGGAUCUCAACAAACACACCGCAAAAAGAGUUACAUCGAAUAGAUCUCCAAGAAGAUCGAGGAGAACUUUGUAUUGAGAUCCAAAGAGAGAGAAGAAGCCAUCUAGCUAAUAACUAUGGACCCGGAGGUCUGAAGUAAACUACUCACACAUCAUCGGAGGGGCCAUGGAGUUGAUUUAGAGGCCCUCCAUGAUUGAUGCCCCCUCCGGCGGAGCUCCGAAAAAGGCCCCAAGAUGGGAUCUCUUGGGUACAGAAGGUUGCGUCGGUGGAAAUAGGGUUUCGUGGUGCUCCUGGAUGUUUUCGGGGUACGUUAACAUAAAUAGGAGGAAGAAGUAGGUCGGUUGAGCCAUGAGGGGCCCACGAGGGGGGAGGGCGCGACCCCUGCCUCAUGGACACCUCGUCUAUUUCUUGACGUCCACUCCAAGUCCUCUGGAUCAUCUUUGUUCCAAAAAUCACGCUCCCGGAGGUUUCAUUCCGUUUGGACUCCAUUUGAUAUUCCUUUUCUGCAAAACACUGAAAUAGGCAAAAAAACAGCAAUUUGCACUGGGCCUUGGGUUAAUAGGUUAGUCCCAAAAAUAAUAUAAAAGUGUAAAAUAAAGCGCAUUAACAUCCAAAACAGAUAAUAUAUUGCAAGGAACAAUAAAAUAUUAUAGAUACGUUGGAGACGUAUCAAGCAUCCCCAAGCUUAAUUCCUGCUCGUCCUCGAGUAGGUAAAUGAUAAAAACAGAGUUUUUGAUGUGGAAUGCUUUCUAGCAUGUUCUUCGACGUAUUUUUAUCUAUUAUGGCAUGAAUGUUCAGAUCCAAAAGAUUCAAGAUAAAAGUUUAUUGUUGACUUAAAAAUAGUAAUACUCCAAGUAUGCUAAUCAAGCAAUUAUGUCUUAUCAAAAUACCAUAGCCAAAGAAAACUUAUCCCUACAAAGUCAUAUAGUUUGGCCAUGCUUCAUUUUCGUCACACAAAACGCUCCCAUCAUGCACAACCCCGAUGACAAGCCAAGCAAUUGUUUCAUACUUAGCCUUUUCAAACUCUUUCAACUUUUACGCAAUAUAUGAGCGCGAGCCAAGGACAUAGCACUAUGGGUGGAAUAGAAUAUGAUGAUUGAGGUUGUGUCAGAAGACAAAAGGGAGAAAGUCUCACAUUGACGCGGCUAAUCAAUGGGCUAUGGAGAUGCCCACCGAUUGAUGUCAAUGCAAGGAGUAGGGAUUUCCAUGUAACGGAUGCACUAGAGCUAUAAAUAUAUGAAAGCUCAUCAAAGAAACUAAGUGGGUGUGCAUCCAACUUGCUUGCUCACAAAGACCUAGGGCAUUUGAGGAAGCCCAUCAUUGGAAUAUGCAGGCCAAGUUCUAUAAUGAAAAAUUCCCACUAGUAUAUGAAAGUGACAAAAUAAGAGACUCUCUAUCAUGAAGAUCAUGGUGCUACUUUGAAGCACAAGUGUGGAAAAAGGAUAGUAACACUGUCCCUUCUCUCUUUUUCUCUUUUUUUUGUUUGGGCCUUCUUUUUUUAUGGCCUCUUUUUUUUUGUUCGGAGUCUCAUCCCGACUUGUGGGGGAAUCAUAGUUUCCAUCAUCCUUUCCUCACAUGGGACAAUGCUCUAAUGAUGAUCAUCACACUUUUAUUUACUUACAACUCAAUAUUUAGAACAAAUUAUAACUCUAUGUGAAUGCCUGCGGCGGUGUACCGGGAUUGCGAUAAAUCAAGAGUGACAUGUAUGAAAAAUUAAGCAUGGUGGCUUUGCCACAAAUACGAUGUCAACUACAUGAUCAUGCAAAGCAAUAUGACAAUGAUGAUGUGUGUCAUAAUAAAUGGAACGGUGGUAAGUUGCAUGGCAAUAUAUCUCGGAAUGGCUAUGGAAAUGCCAUAAUAGGUAGGUAUGGUGGCUGUUUUGAGGAAGAUAUAAGGAGGCUUAUGUGUGAUAGAGCGUAUGAUAUCACGGGGUUUGGAUGCACCGGCGAAGUUUGCACCAACUCUCAAGGUGAGAAAGGGCAAUGCACGGUACCGAAGAGGCUAGCAAUGAUGGGAGGGUGGGAGUGCGUAUAAUCCAUGGACUCAACAUUGGUCAUAAAGAACUCACAUACUUAUUGCAAAAAUCUACAAGUCAUCAAAACCAAGCACUACGCGCAUGCUCCUAGGGGAUAGAUUGGUAGGAAAAGACCAUCGCUCGUCCCCGACCGCCACUCAUAAGGAAAGCAAUCAAAGAAAACCUCAUGCUUAAAAUUUGUCACAUAAAGAAGUCACAUACUUAUUGCAAAAAUCUACAAGUCAUCAAAACCAAGCACUACGCGCAUGCUCCUAGGGGGAUAGAUUGGUAGGAAAAGACCAUUGCUCGUCCCUGACCGCCACACUCAUAAGGAAAGCAAUCAAAGAACACCACAUGCUUCAAAUUUGUCACACAAUGUUUACCAUACGUGCAUGCUAUGGGACUUGCCAACUUCAACACAAGUAUUCAUCAAUUUCACAAUUACUCAACUAGCACACCUCUAAUAUUACCACCUUAUAUCUCAAAACAACUAUCAAACAUCCAAGUUCUCUUAGCAUUUAAAAUUUAUAACCAAUGUGAAUUACCAUGCUGUUCUAAAAGACUCUCAAAAUGAUAUAAGUGAAGCAUGAGAGAUCAAUUAUUUCUAUACAAUAAAACCACCGUCGUGCUCUAAAAGAUAUAAGCGAAGUACCAGAGCAAAAAUUAUCCAACUCAAAAGAUAUAGGUGAAGAACAUAGAGUAUUCUAAUAAAUUCCAAUUCAUGCGUGUGUCUCCCAACAGGUGUGUACAACAAGGAUGAUUGUGGUAAUAUAAAAAGCAAAGACUCAAAUCAUACAAGGCGCUCCAAGCAAAACACAUAUCAUGUGGCGAAUAAAAAUAUAGCUCCAAGUAAAGUUACCGAUGGACGAAGACGAAAGAGGGGAUGCCUUUCGGGGCAUCCCCAAGCUUAGGCUUUUGGUUGUACUUGAAUUUUACCUUGGGGUGCUUUGGGAAUCCCCCAAGCUUAGGUUCUUUCCACUCCUUGUUCCAUAAUCUAUCAUAUCUUUACCCAAAACUUGAAAACUUCACAACACAAAACUUAAAAGAAAAUCUCGUGAGCUCCGUUAGUAAAAGAAAACAAACCACCACUUCAAGGUACUGUAAUGAACAAAUUAUUUAUUUAUAUUGGUGUUAAACCUACUGUAUUCCAACUUUUCUAUGGUUCAUAAACUCUAUUACUAGCCAUAGAUUCAUCAAAAUAAGCAAACAACACACGAAAAAUAGAAUCUGUCAAAAACAGAACAGUUUGUAGUAAUCUGUAGGUUUCGAAUAUUUCUGGAACCCCAAAAAUUCUAAAAUAUAUUUCUGGACGUGAGGAAUUUAUCUAUUAAUCAUAUUCAAAAAGAAUUAACUAAAUAUCACUCUCCAGUAAAAAAAUGGCAGCAAAUCUCGUGAGCGCUAAAAUUUCUGUUUUUUACAGCAAGAUCGCAAAGACUUUCCCCAAGUUUUCCCAAAGGUUCUACUUGGCACAAACACUAAUUAAAAGCAUAAAACCACAUCUAAACAGAGGCUAGAUGAAUUACUUAUAUUGAACAGAAUCAAAAAGCAAGAAACAAAAAUAAAAUUGGGUUGCCUCCCAACAAGCGCUAUCGUUUAAUGUCCCUAGCUAGGCAUAAAAGCAAGGAUAGAUCUAGGUUUUGCCAUGAUAGUGAUAAGGUAAAUCACAAAAACUCAUCUCAUACUCCCUACGUUCAGCAGCAAGCUUUCUUUGUGGUAAUAAAAAGUAAUCAAAAGGGCUAAAUUUAGUGGGACAAAAGUCUCCAAGAUCAAGCUCGGGAGGUAUUGUUUCCUCCUUUGGCCCCUCAUAUUGCACAACCAAUUCAUCAUUAUAAGCAUUCUUUUGGCAAAAAGUCAUGAGUAUUUGUUCAAGAGAAAAACCUUACCCAUUAUUCUGGAUAGCAAAAUUAUCAUUUAAUUCAUAGAUCCUAUCAACAAGAACAUCGGUAGGAACCUUUUUUCUAAGGUUUUCAUUAAAAGCAACAUGAUCUAAAGAUCGUAAACGCAUAAUGUCUUGUUGAUAAAAAAGGAUUGCUUAUAUGGGAGGACGGACGGCAUCCGCCCUAUAAUGCGCAAGAAUUUCAUUGGCCUCUUUUAUUAUAAAUCUGAACUCAUGAGCUAAAAAGAUGGUCGUUGCUCGCUUAACAGAAGAAUGCUCAAGAUUAGAAAAUUCUAGGAAAAUCCUUUGUAUGGAAGGAUGCAUAUAUAAAAAUUGUCUUUCAAGUUCAACUAUGAGCAAAGAUAUAGCAUCCGCGAGACUACUAGUUUUAUGAAGAAUAGAUCUGCUCAUGGUGGGCAAAGCACCGACACAAGUAAAGAAAUCUUGAAUAACUCCCUUCCCAAUAAUAUUACCGCUACCAAUCCGAAACCUUUUAGUGUGUAAAAUAGUAGAAUUUUCAAGAGGAUCAUCUAUAGCAUCAAAGUUUUCCAUAUUAUUAUCCUUAUCAACGAUAACCUCCCCAGUUUCAGACAUGAAGGCAACAAAUUGCAAAAAGAACGAGCACACAGAAGGCAGGAAGGAAAAAGAGGUGAACGGAAAAGAGGGCGAAGAAAACGGCAAGGGUGAAGUGGGGGAGAGGAAAACGAGAGGCAAAUGGAAAAUAAUGUAAUGCGAGGGAUAAGAGUUUGUGAUGGGUACUUGGUAUGUCUUGACUUGUGCGUAGACUCCCCGGCAACGGUGCUAGAAAUCCUUCUUGCUACCUCUUGAGCACUGUGUUGGUUUUCCCUUGAAGAGGAAAAGGUGAUGCAGCAAAGUCGCGUAAGUAUUUCCCUUAGUUUUUGAGAACCAAGGUAUCAAUCUAGUAGGAGGCAACAUGGAAGUCCCUCGUAUCUGCACAAACAAAUAAGAACCUCGCAACCACCGUGAUAAAGGGGUUGUCAAUCCCUUCAUGGUCACUUACAAGAGUGAGAUCUGAUUGAGAUAAUAAUGAUAAGAUAAAUAUUUUUGGUAUUUUUAUGAUAUAGAUUGAAAGUAAAGAUUGUAAAGUAAAAUAGAUUGGAAACUUAUAUGAUGGAAAAUAGACCCGUGGGCCAUAGGUUUCACUAGUGGCUUCUCUCAAGAUAGCAUAAGUAUUACGAUGGGUGGACGAAUUACUGUCGAGCAAUUGAUAGAAAAGCGAACAAUUAUGAGAAUAUCUAGGCAUGAUCAUGUAUAUAGGCAUCACAUCCGUGACAAAGUAGACCGACUCCUGCCUGCAUCUACUACUAUUACUCCACACAUCGACCGCUAUCCAGCAUGCAUCUAGAGUUUUAAGUUCAUAAGAACAGAGUAACGCAUUAGGUAAGAUGACAUGAUGUAGAGGGAUAAACUCAAGCAAUAUGAUAUAAACCCCAUCUUUUUAUCCUCGAUGGCACCAAUACAAUACGUGUCGUUUCCCUUUCGGUCACUGGGAUCGAGCACCACAAGAUUGAACCCAAAGCUAAGCACUUCUCCCAUUGCAAGAAAGAUCAAUCUAGUAGGCCAAACCAAACUGAUAAUUCAAAGAGACUUGCAAAGAUAACCAAUCAUGCAUAAAAGAUUUCAAAGAAGAAUCAAAUAUUGUUCAUAGAUAGACUUGAUCAUAAACCCACAAUUCAUCGGAUCUUGACAAACACACCGCAAAAAGAGUUACAUCAAAUAGAUCUCCAAGAAGAUCAAGGAGAACUUUGUAUUGAGAUCCAAAGAGAGAUAAGAAGCCAUCUAGCUAAUAACUAUGGACCCGAAGGUCUAAAGUAAACUACUCACACAUCAUCGGAGGGGCCAUGGAGUUGAUGUAGAGGCCCUCCAUGAUUGAUGCCCCCUCCGGCGGAGCUUUGGAAAAAGCCCCAAGAUGGGAUCUCUCGGGUACAGAUGGUUGCGGCGGUGGAAAUAGGGUUUCGUGGUGCUCCUGGAUGUUUUUCGGGUAUGUGAACAUAUAUAGGAGGAAGAAGUAGGUCGGUUGAGCCACGAGGGGGGAGGGCGCGCCUCCCUGCCUCGUGGACACCUCGUCCAUUGCUUGACGUCCACUCCAAGUCCUCUGGAUCACGUUUGUUCCAAAAAUCACGCUCUCGAAGGUUUCAUUCCGUUUGGACUCCAUUUGAUAUUCCUUUACUGCGAAACACUGAAAUAGGCAAAAAAACAACAAUUUGCACUGGGCCUUGGGUUAAUAGGUUAGUCCCAAAAAUAAUAUAAAAGUGUAAACUAAAGCCCAUUAACAUCCAAAACAGAUAAUAUAAUAGCAUGGAACAAUCAAAAAUUAUAGAUACGUUGGAGAUGUAUCAUGGGCCCAACGGGCAUCUGGCCCGCAUGUCAGUGACACACCGACUGCAGCUGCAGUUAAGUCCGGUGAAUGCGGCAUUGGCGUUCUGGAGAGAUAGUGACCGUUUCAGGCGGGAAGCGCGCGCUAGCGAUGGAAGGGGUUUCGGUAGGCCAGGGCAGUCAGAAGCUGGUGUGGUGGUAAAAUAUGAACUCAUGGAUGACGAGACUUUGAAGCGUAUGCGGCACGUAUUGACAACCAGGUGUCCAUGAAACCGCUCUUGUCGCCAGCUAGCCUUCGACGGCCACCAUUAAACAUCACACAACCAUGCAUAACUUAUGAAUAAUGGACGAAUCGAUCAGACACACACUUGUGUGAAGUGGCACUAUGAUCGAUCGCUCAUGAUAGUACAUACUCCGUACCAUAGUACCCUCUCUAGCUAGGCUGUUUUAUAGAUUGUCGUUGUGAUGGACGAUAUACAUGAGCAAGGCGCCGAGUCACGAGUAUGACCGUUGGUGUUGAGCCAGGUGAAUACAUGCUCGUUGUUCGCGGAGGCCUCCAGCAAACAUCUAAACAAUAAUGUCAGGCACCACCAGGGCGCACAGGUGACGGGCUCGCCGUUUGCAUUGCACCAUGAGCAGGACUUUGAUUGAGAGCGUGACGUGCAUGCAUUAGCAUGGUUUGACAGCAUGAGCAUGAGUGUCUGCACGCGUACAUGCUACUUGCCUCUAUGGAUGGUGUGCGCUAAUGUGCGCAUCACGUAUAAUAUAAAAAAAUCCAUUUGUGCAUUUAACGCAAAGUAUUUCAUUUUCAUUUGGCUGACGAGUGUGCGUUGUAGCGACGAGUCCAUGGUUUGAUUCCUCACAUACGCAUAAUUUUGGUUUUUAUUUCUUUCUCCACUAACAGGUAGGCCCGCAUAGAUAGAUAGAUAAAGAACACGAGCUGAUGAGGCGCAUGCGGAUUGUUUGACUGGUCAACCAGACAAAUACGGAGCUAUACACUGAGCCAGUGACCGUAUAAUCACCAUAUCUCGUAUACAAUGAUCAAAGUGAGCUAUCAAGACAAGUUCGAUGACCGCCAAUGCAUUUUACUUGAUAAUAAAUGACCAGGAUUGAAGGGGAAUCCAAAUUUCCUUCGUCUUCUAUCCUUGAGCUCUUGACAAACCAAUGCACUUGUCCGGCCACUCCACCCCAGAGCUGUCACCAAGCGUCGUUCAUGCCACUAGGCCGCACACUAACUGGUAAGGGAGCGAUGGCAUCCCGCCGCGUUGAGUACCUCACCGUCUACGAUCGCACAAAAAAUGGUAGGGAAGCGAUGGCAUCCCGCCAUGCCGAGUUCAUCGCCGCUCGCGACCUCACACCUAUGUGGGUGGAAUUUGAAGCUGCCAAGGCCGAAUGGGCGGUAGAGCAAGAGGCGGCCAAAGCCACACAGAGGAAGCGGAAAAGUCAGAAAGCACUCAAGAAAAUAGAGGCCCGCCGUCGCAAGAAAGAAGAGGACGCACUCACUGCUGCGGAGAGGUGGCGGAGAUCCAAGCACGGUUGGGUGUUGCUGACAAAGCCAGGAAGGAGAAUGACGGCGUCUGGCGAGCAUGUGAGAAGUAGUAGUACUAGUAGUAGUUAGUGUGUGUGUCUGUGUCGCUCGUAGGUUUGUUUAAUUAAUUACGAGCAUGUACCAAUACUAGUUACUACUGUAGUUUUUAGAGCAAAUUACCAGUACAUUAGCCUAGACUCAAUGGAAAAAUUCCUAUCAUAUGCAUCAAAUGGCAUCUCUUUCUCUAUAGGAAUUGAGAUGCAUGUCAUCUCACUUCCUAUGAUUUUCAUAUUCCUAUAAAAUUCCUAUCCUAUGAACCAAAGGAGGCCUCUGCUGGAGUAACUACUAUACUUAGCUAGCAGUACUGCUAGUACAGUAGUUUUCUUCAAGAAGCGGAAUUCAACGAAGUCAUGAUGGUUCCUUCGUCCGAGCAACUUCAUAGCGGGAAAGGUUGAGCUUGUGAUUUGAUGGCUCAUUAGUCAUUAUUACUGUGGAGCGACGGUCGGGGUGACUUUCCCUUGGAGUUCUGCGUGCAUGGCAAGUGGACCAGGAUGGUCGAUGUCCCACAUGUCGACGAACAAAAGUAUUCUUUCUGAUAUCGAGGAGCAAGGAAGCGUGCGCCGGCAAGGGAGGGGGGUUGGGUCGGCCAGGGCGGUCAGACGUGGGCGUGGUGGUGGUAUUGGUUUUGAACCGUUUCAGGUGUAGUACUGGUAGUUUGCAAAACUACUCAAUUAUUGCACUCAGUUUCCUAAGAAAUUGUGGUAAGAAACAUUACUCCACAGCCCGCUUCCCUUCUCCUUCCUCUUCCACCGCCCGCGCGCGUCCAUGGGAAGCGACCGGUCAACCCUUAUAUAGGAGUGCUAGCACAAAAAGAUGCAUGCAUGACCACUAAAAUUUCCAGAUUAAAGCGUCGCUCCGGCGAGAGUAUGGCGUAUGUCAUUACCUUCGGUCGGGCCAUGGCUACCGGGCGACGGCGACCGGAGAAGAGGCGACGAGAGGGGAAUGAAUGCAGCUACUGUUUGGGUUCGCUGUCCGGCUUAAAUAAAUGUGCACCAUCACGUGUACCUGCGGGUGCACAAAUUGUAACAUACGUGUCUGCUUAAGUGGGCGUCCCGUAACUGGUGUGUGUGAGAGAUUCUGAGAGACAAAGUGCGUGUGUGCGACUCUACUCUUAGGACAUGUACUCAACCUUUUGCAUCGGGAUAUAAAUAUAAUUGUAUUACACUUUAGCUACUGAUUUACGUGGCCAUGAUAACAUGGUUGUGUAAAAAAAUGUCACUUCGUGCUCAUGAUUUACGUUAUAUAAUUACUAGCAAGAUGCUCGUGCAUUGCACGGAAUAUCAAUAUGCAUUUUUUUACAAAACACCUGUUGUGAUUGACCCAUGCAGGAGUAAUCACAUGUGUAAAAACUAAUGAUAUCUUGAGAAUUUUAUCAGAAAACUGGUAUCUCGACCAUUUCAUCAAAAAAAGAAAGAUGAGAGAUAAGGUGAGGAGGAGUGGAGUGUGGUGGUGACUGGUGGUCGGACUGGGCGGAGACAUGGGGAUGGACGAUGCCGGCAGGCAGCAGUGGCCACCAUGCUAGAUUAUUCCAGAGACUUCCUUUUUUAAUUUAUCAGCAAUGAGAUUGUGGGAGUGAGGUGCGUGUAUCUUUUGUAAAAUUGUCAUAGUUUGCUUUCUAUCCGUGAGAUAUAGAUCGGACGGUCUAUAUUACAAGAUGAUAGGCACACCAUCAUCACCAACUCAGAUUUUUAUAUGAGUAGAGAUGAUAAGUUCGCUAACUACUAAAGUAGAGUGGAGUUUGUCCAUGUUAUAAAAGUAAAUUAAGGUGAUUGUUUAUCAUACGGGUAAGGUUGGACGAAGGGUGGUAGGAACAAAUGCUCCGCCUAGAGCAUGUGUGUGUGAGAUGGAGUCUUAGUGUGUGUGUGUGGGCGAGUGCGUGCAUGCAUGUGUGUGUGACGCGGGGUCCUUGGUGGCGGAUGUAAUUUAAGUGCGCGUGGCUUCAUCAUAGAGAGGUGAUGUGUAUGGCAGAGGCCACCAACGAGGGGGUGCGAGAGAGAAAAGGCCCGUAGAGAGGGAAGAGAAGGCAUGUGCGCGUGAGAGGAGUCGACAUCGAGAGAACGUGUUUGUUCGAGAGACACUGAGGAAGAGUACUAUAUAUCAAUGGUGCAUGUAGGCGGGAAUUAAAUGAAGGGAUGGUCUUAUUGGUUUCGGGGAUAUAGGGGAAGAGUGAGAGGGGGGUAGCUAGAAGGAGAUUGUUAAGUGUGAGUGAGGGAGUCCUGGAUUAGGGGGUCUCCGAACAGCCGGACUAUAUCCUCUGACCGGACUGUUGGACUAUGAAGAUACAAGAUUGAAGACUUUGUCUCGUGUCUGGAUGGGACUCUCCUUGGUGUGGAAGGCAAUCUAGGCAAUACGGAUAUGUAUAUCUCCUCCUUUGUAACCGACCUUGUGUAACCCUAGCCCCCUCCGGUGUCUAUAUAAACUGGAGGGUUUUAGUCCGUAGGACAACAUAAAAUCAUACCAUAGGCUAGCUUCUAGGGUUUAGCCUCUCCGAUCUCGUGGUAGAUCAACUCUUGUACUACUCAUAUUAUCAAGAAUAAUCAAGCAGGACGUAGGGUUUUACCUCCAUCAAGAGGGCCCGAACCUGGGUAAAACAUCGUGUCCCCUGCCUCCUGUUACCAUCCGCCUUAGACGCACAGUUUGGGACCCCCUACCCGAGAUCCACCGGUUUUGACAAGGACAUUGGUGCUUUCAUUGAGAGUUCCUCUGUGUCGUCACCGUUAGGCUUGAUGGCUCCUUCGAUCAUCGAUAGCGAUGCAGUCCAGGGUGAGACUUUUCUUCCCGGACAGAUCUUUGUAUUCGGCAGCUUCGCACUGCGGGCCAACUCGCUUGGCCGUCUGGAGCAGAUCGAGAGUUACGCCCCUGGCCACCAGGUCAGGUUUGGAAGCUUAAACUACACGGCCGACAUCCGCAGAGACUUGAUCUUCGACGGAUUCGAGCCCCUGCCGAGUGCGCCGCAUGGUCACGAUGAGCAUGAUUUAGCUCUGCCAUCAGAUAGUGUUCAGGAGACCGCACCGGCAACCGCUCUGACCCUCAAUUCAGAGCCAAUUGCGCCAUCCAUGGACGGGUAGGUAGACCCCGCCAUGGAGGCGGUAUUCUCAGUGGCGAUCGAGCCGAAUAUCGACCUUACCCUUCACGGGAGCCGUGACGCCGAACUACUGGAUUCUUCCUCGGCCACGGACUCCGAACCGCCUGCGCCCGUGCCUAUCGAAUCCAACUGGGCGCCGAUCAUGGAGUUCACCUCCGCGGAUAUCUUUCAGCACUCGCCCUUCGGCAACAUACUGAACUCAUUAAGGUCUCUCUCCUUGUCAGGAGAGUCCGGGCCGAACUAUGUUCGGCGGGAUUGGGAUGCGGAUGACAAAGAAAUUCGCCGCCCACCCACCGCCCACUUAGUAGCCACUGUUGACGAUUUGACCGACAUGCUCGACUUCGACUCCGAAGACAUCGACGGUAUGGACGAAGAUGCAGGAGACGAACAGGAACCACUGCCCACAGGGCACUGGACGCCCACUUCAUCAUAUGAUGUAUACAUGGUGGACACACCCAAACAAAACGACGAUGAGGAACAGAAGGACGCAGCGAAGGGUUGUUCCCUCGAGAAGCAGUCAAAGCGGCAGCGUAAGCGCCGCUCCAAAUCCCGCCUCGUCUUAAACAACGAUCAUAUAGACCCAGUGAUAGAGCAGGGUGAACCAUCGCCCGACCAGGGCAACACGGAGAAUCAAACCGAACAACCUGACCCCGUCGAAGAUAACAGUCCGGACGACAUCACACCGGACAGGCACCCAGAGCAACAGAAUGCCCAUCAAAGGCUGGUUGCCACCGCGAGGAGUCUGAAAAAGCAGAAGCAAAGGCUCAGGGCUGCACAAGACACACUCAGAAUCAGAUGGAGUGAAGUACUCAACACUGCAGCGAAGUACGGCGAUAAUCGCCACACCAAGAGCUACUCGAAGCGAAAGCUGCUACCUUAAUUCGAUGAGGAGGCCUUAGAUCCCCCGCAAUAAAAAAAUGGCCAUCCGGUCGGAUAGAUGACCUCGUGACCAACAUAGAGCGGCAAACGACGCCACACAUAAGCCAGUACGCGAUCCAUGCGAGGGCUCGCAUCAAAAGGAUGGCGCAACCAGAUCCAUAUACGGGCCACGCAAGCGCGCUCCAGCAUGCAAUGCAACACAACAAACAUCCGAACACCAUGGUACACCCAAAUACAGGGGUGCCGCACCCCCCCCCCCUAUGUUUCACCGAUGAGGUGCUGGACCAUGAAUUUCCAGAGUGAUUCAAACCGUAAACAUAGAGGCGUAUGACGGAACGACAGACCCUGGGGUCUAGAUUGAGGACUACAUCCUCCAUAUCCACAUGGCUCGAGGAGGCGAUCUCCAUGCCAUCAAGUACUUACCCCUCAAGCUCAAAGGGCCAGCUCGGCACUGGCUUAAAAGCCUCCCUGAAAACUCCAUUGGAAGCUGGGAAGAGCUUGAAGACGCCUUUCGGGCAAAUUUUCAAGGGACCUAUGUCCGACCACUGGAUGCAGACGAUUUAAGUCAUAUAACUCAAUAGCCCGGAGAGUCAGGCCGAAAGCUUUGGAACAGGUUCCUCACUAAAAAGAACCAAAUAGUCGAUUGUCUGGACGCCGAAGCCCUAGCAGUUUUCAAGCAUAGCAUUCGAGACGAAUGGCUUGCCAGACACCUCGGCCAAGAAAAGCCGAGAACAAUGGCAGCAUUAACAAGCCUCAUGACCCGCUUUUGCGCGAGCGGGGACAGCUAGUUAGCCCGGUGCGGCACCAGCGACCCAAGUACAUCCGAAGUCAGGGACGAAAAUGGGAAACCAUGACGCAGCAAAAACAAGCGCCGGAAUAAAGAAGACAACCGAAGAGCACGGCGGUAAACGCCGGAUUCAGAAGCUCUCGGCCAGGUCAGCAAAAGCUGCCCUCCAAAGGCAACACAGACGAACUGUCCAGCCUAAACAAGAUUCUAGACAAAAUAUGUCAGAUCCACAGCACCCCCGAUAAACCUGCAAAUCAUACCCAUAGAGAAUGUUGGGUCUUCAAGCAGUCCGGCAACCUCAACGCCGAACACAAGGGGCAGGAUACACCAAGCGAAGACGAGGACGAGCCUCGCAAGCAAAGCACUGGGGAACAGAAGAAAUUCCCACCAGAAGUCAAAACAGUAAACAUAUUACACGUGACAAAGGGGAGAAACAAAGCGGCACUCCUAGAGACACAUGCCCCAGGACCUAUCACCGUGGAGUUCUGCCACUGGUCGUCCCAACCGAUCACGUUCGACCAUCGGGAUUACUCAGCAAGUAUCCGGCGUGCAGGAUGGGCUGCCUUGGUGUUAGACCUGAUAAUUGAUGGAUACCACUUCGCACGAGUCCUGAUGGACGACGACAGUAGUUUAAACCUGAUAUAUUAGGACACAGUCCGCAAAAUGGGGUUAGACCCAAUAAAAAUUAGCCAUAGCAAUACUACCUUUAAAGGAGUAACGCCAGGCCCAGAAGCCCAUUGCACGGGCUCCCUGCUACUAGAGGUUAUAUUCAGCUUUCCCGAUAACUUCCGCAGCGAAAAUUUAACCUUCCACAUCGCUCCGUUCCAAAGCGGCCAUCAAGCACUACUCGGACGCGAAGCUUUCGCUCGCUUUAACGCAAUACCACAUUACGCUUCUCUCAUGCUUAAGAUGCCCGGUCCACGUUGCAUCAUUACAGUAAACGGAAAUAUUGAGCGCUCCUUGCGUGUAGAAGACCGUGCGGCUGUCUUGUCAGCUGCACACUAAACGGCCUCACCAACUAAAGCAUCUGACAGGUCGUUAAGACCAUGGACACGGUUGGACGAGUCCGGUACAGCUAUAUGUAAUUGACACAGGUUUGAUGGCUAUACCCCUAUUACAAUACAAGGGGCUCAACACGCGCAAACAAGUGGCAAUUAGGCUCAGCUUUACUCAUUUUGAACUAUAUAUUGUUUAUUUAGUAUAACUUACCUUUUGCACAGCAACUUUUCAAUUAAGUUCCUCUCUUUUUCAGAUGACCGUCGUGCUACACCCGUCCAGAAUACGACACAACGGAGACACAGGCGCAGACGUGCAGCAGGGACCCGUUCUAAGGAUUCUUUUUAGAUUAAGACCCUGCGUAAACCUUUUUUACUGUCUCUUGUUGAUACACAUCCCUCGGAUUCUCAAUACAAUUGAGAAGGAUGCUGACGUAUUGGCAUGUGGCCACGUCAGAAUAUCGCACGUACCUGGACACCAGGGGCUUAUUAUAAAGGGCACUGUUUAGGCCCGGUUUACAUCAUAAAGACCGAAUACCUUAGGGAGUGUUCGGCGUCGCGAGUUUGCCCUUAUAUGCAUCAGCUCCGAAUCAUGUCUUUGGUCAAAUGUUGGGUUUGCCUGGCUCCUGUGUUUUGCUGCCUUACGUUCCGCUCUAUCGGCUAAGGCGGCACCAGGAGAACUACUGCGAUUGUGCCCUGGUUCAUCCGGACGAGCACCUCAGUAGAGAAAGCCGAAAACUGACUGUCAUGAUAUAGCGUGAGACUGGUCAACCACUCGAUGACCUAGCAGAAUCUUCAGGAUUCCUCCGCUUUAACGAAGGGCCGUUUCCCAGCCAAGCAUGUACGCACCCCGAAUUCGGAUGAGUGCGGAGCCACCAGGGGCUAUAUAGUAGCCCCACUAUCAAACUCCUCUAGCUAAGUGAAAGUGUUAAAGCAUUAUAGUCCGGUUGCCUAGUUCGCUGCGCUAUCACCUCCUUAAUGGACCAAGACAUUGGAUCAAGUGUGAACAUGCGUCUUCUGCGAACACCUCCGCAUUAUAUGUGUGGGGGCUGAAGCCGACGACUGCAAUCUUUCAGGUUAUAUACAUAUAUACAUAAACGGCCGCACAGGAGGCGUCAUAGCACUUUUGGGCAAAAGUAUAAGUACAACAUUGAUAAAUUCAAUAAAACAUUGUUUUUACAAUGGGAAUACAUGUCACUCAAACAUAAUAUUCUUCGAGCACUAAGCCUCUAUUGAACGAGCGCGUUUAAGAACUUCUUCAAAGUAGUGCUUGGCAGCCACUCGGCCUAUGGCCGAACCCUGUGCCGCAACAGUGGUGGCAUCCAUCUCCGCCCAGUAUGUUUUGACACGGGCAAGGGCCAUCCGCGAGCCUUCUAUGCAUGCCGACCUCUUCACAGCAUCGAUGUGUGGCACAGCGCCAAGGAAUUGUUGCACUAAGCUAAAGUAGCUAUUCGGCCUUGGCCCUCCUGGCCACAAAUGAUCCACAACGGACCUCAUGGCCAGUUCGGAUAAUCUAUGGAGCUCGGCCCAACCGGUCAAUCGCUCAUUCAGCAGCAGCGGACAGAUUGGAGCAUGAAACUAUGAGCAGAAUAGCUUCUCCACUUCGGGACCUUUCUGAUCCUUGAAGUACUCGGCGACAUAAGCAGUGCUGGCAGCCAAAUCCAUGUAUGCGUCCGCAAAACUCCAUAGCCGGUCCAGAGGAGCAUACUUCGGAUCUCUGAACUUAGUCCGCAACAAGAAAGGCUUCCCAGACACGAUAUCUGCAGCCUGAUUCAGCUCCUCCUUCGUCGCUCUAAUUUUGGAGCGGGCUUCCUUGGCAGCCACCCAAGCCUUCUCCAGGUCCGUCGCUUUCGCCUGGUUUUCCUCUUCAAGAAGCCGGUAACAGUCACCAGCAUCUUUUAACUCCAUGGCCAUCUUGGCAAUUCUUUCUUUGCUCUCGCAAUGUGCGGCCUGCUCGGCCCUUAACUCUUCGACCGCCUGUAAAGCAGCCGCAUUGCUACUCCUGGCUUGCUCCUUGGCUCGAGCAAGCUCCGCCCGAAGGGUCUCCACGGUGGCCGCUCCAUCUGCAGUCACAAACAUAUUAAAGAUGCUGGCAUCAGGCCGCUCUUAUUAUGUGACAAUCGCCAGAAAAAUCACUGACCCUGCGCCUCGUCAAGCCGCUUGUUGACAAGCACGAUGUUGGCAUCUGCCGCAUCCAGCUGCCGCUUUAGUUCGGCAUACCCAUCAGUCCGGCUAGCCACCGGAGCCUCCACCAGCUGCACAUAAAGGUAGUCUGAUUAUUACCUGGGACUAUGAUCCUGUGUUUGCCGUUGUUUUCGACGACAACCAGAGUCUCAGGGGCUACUAUCUACACAGGGCACAUCUAAAAAUGUGUGGUACUUUCAAAAAUGUACAUCAUUUCACGUACCUCAAAACCCGUCAGUAGACUCAUAAAGGCUUCAUGCAGCCCGCUUUCAGCGGACGAAAUCCUUUCAAUCACUAUACCCAUAAAUGUGUAGUGCUCUUCUAAGAUAGCCGCUUUCUCCAGCAGAUCCCUCCGUAUGUCCGACCGCACACCAGAUGGUGCCAGACUCUUUUGAUUGCUCUCUUCGAGAGCCGGAUAUUGAGGACUUCGGGUGGCCAUAGGAUUACCUUCUGGCCUUGCCGGAUUAGGAGAAGCCCUCCGCGACGACACCUCAGGGUCGCCCGCUUCGUAAGGCGGUGUGGCAGGGGGAGGCGUUUCGCUCUCCAUCAUCUUCGGAAGAAGAUCCCCCGAAGACGAGCUCAGCUGAGAAGGGCUAAGAUCCGAACUGCAAGAUAAAUGCUUCGAUUAUUUUCCUCAGAAAUAGAGCAAGAUAUUUUCGUUAUUGAAUACCCUUUUACUUACAGCUCGGUAGAGGGCUGAUCCCCGCGCGGACAUUGUGCGGUAAGAGUACCCUCCGAGGCAGGUCCCUCUGGCAGAGAUUUCUUCUCCCGUUUGGAAACCUUAGUUUCCGGAUCUUCAGAGGUAGACCUCUUCCUUCCCCGGGGAGAGAGAAUGUCAGAUUCUUCACCUUGGUUAUCCUCCCUCGCGGAGGCGCUCAUUCCCUCGAGUGGGAUAGGUAGCGAUGGAGGCCCGCUUUCGCCCUCUUUAUCCCCCCUUCAUCUUCCUUUAAGGGCACUAGACAAGGUGCAGGCUCGAGCAUUUUUCCAGCACCGGAUUGUCCAAGCCUUCAGGAAGGGGGCCGAACAUCGGAUCAUCUUCACCUUUGUUAUCCAGUCCUGGUCAAAGAGCGAUUCUUCAGAAUGAUGUCAUGAUAAAUAAAAGGACAGUGUGUUCGGCCAUGGGAUUACUUACUUGGGCAGCGGUGCGGUUGCUGCUCAGGCCCACGUCCUCGGUAGUGUCCGGACAUUCUAUUUGGGGUCUGAAGAAUGAUUUGUACAUCUCCUCGUGCGUCAUGCCGAUGAAAUUCUGAAUGGUGCGCGGUCCUUCCGGGUUGAAUUCACACAUGCAAAGGGGCCGGCGUUUGCAAGGCUGGACUCGACGAACCAGCAUAACUUGCAUUACCAUAACCAGACUGAAAUCUCCCUCGAAGAGAUCUCGGAUACGGCUCUGCAGCAUUCGCACGUCCUUGGCUGGACCCCAGCUCAGACCCUGCUGAUCCAUGACAUCAGUUGUGGUGGAGGGCCCGAGCGAAAGGUGGGGGCAUCUACCCACUUGGCACUUCGGGGAGCUGUGACGUAAAACCACUCCCGUUGCCACAAUCCGAAUACCUCUGGAAAGGAACCCUUUGGCCAUGGAGCGUCAGCAAUUUUGCUUAUUAGAGCACCUCCGCACGCGGCUACUGCCCCUCGACUAUCUUCGGCUUCACAUCAAAGGUCUUGAGCCACAGGCCGAAGUGAGGGGUAAUGCGGAGGAAGGCCUCACAAACGACAAUAAAUGACGAGAUGUGAAGAAGGGAAUCUAGGGCCAUAUCAUGAAAAUCCAGCCCGUAAUAGAACAUGAGACCCCUGACAAAGGGAUCCAGAGCGAGGCCUAGUCCUCGGAGGAAGUGGGAGACGAACACAACGCUCUCGUUGGGUUCAGGAGUAGGGACGACCUGCCCUCGGGCGGGUAGCCUAUGCGAAAUUUCGGCGAUCAGAUAUCUGGCCUCCCUCAACUUCUUGAUGUCCUGCUCCGUGAUGGAGGAAGACAUCCACCAGCCUUCAAGGCUAGAUCCGGACAUGAUUGAAGGUCCGAAGCACCUGACAUUGGCUUUGGGUGUUAGAACUCCAGGUGGGGGAGGGAUUCGAUUGAGCACGGGAGGGAAAAAAGUAAAAGUUCUGUCCCUUUAUAAAGAGGGUGAAUAUCAAGCGUCCUCCUCGUGGCUGUUUGGGACUUGCCUAAGAUCUAGGAGUCCUAGGCACGGUUGGGUUACCAACGUCCGUAUUGAUGAGAAUCCCGUAGUAAGGGGAACACGAUCUCUGCUUUGACAAGACAUGUCAAGAAACUGCCUCGCGUUAUGUGCGGGGCUGGUUAAAGAAAAACAGUUCAAAUAAUUACUGGGCCGUGGCGUGAUGUCAUGCUGCCAAAACGUGUCAGCAGAUUAGAUUUGUGGUAAUAUUAUUCUCUCUACGGUGGUAUGUGGAACUUAUUUUGCAGGGUCGGACACUAUCCUUGUAUUCAAAUUCUUCAGUGGUGUAUUCGGAGGAGGAACCCGCCUUGCAAUGCCGAAGACAACACUGCGCGCCGGACUCAUCGUCAUUGAAGCCUGGUUCAGGGGCUACUAAGGGAGUCCUGGAUUAGGGGGUCUCCGGACAGCUGUAAUAUAUCCUCUGGCCGGACUAUUGGACUAUGAAGAUACAAGAUUGAAGACUUCGUCUCGUGUCUGGAUGGGACUCUUCUUGGCGUGGAAGGCAAGCUAGGCAAUACGGAUAUGUAUAUCUCCUCCUUUGUAACCAACCUUGUGUAACCCUAGCCCCCUCCGGUGUCUAUAUAAACUGGAGGGUUUUAGUCCGUAGGACAACAUACAAUCAUACCAUAGGCUAGCUUCUAGGGUUUAGCCUCUCCGAUCUCGUGGUAGAUCAACUCUUGUACUACUCAUAUUAUCAAGAAUAAUCAAGCAGGACGUAGGGUUUUACCUCCAUCAAGAGGGCCCGAACCUGGGUAAUACAUCAUGUCCCCUGCCUCCUGUUACCAUCCGCCUUAGACGCACAGUUUGGGACCCCCUACCCGAGAUCCGCCGUUUUUGACACCGACAGUGAGUGUGUGUUUUUCCCAUCCAGGCGGAAGUUAUGUGCACACAAGAAGAGAACGAUUUGAUGUGGCAUUAGGGCCAAGGGUAAUUAACUAUGUAUGAAGACAUAGGAGACCUUGAACGUGCAUGUGCGAGAGGUAUACAUGUAUAUGUGGGAUGUGUGUGUGCGCGCGUGCAUGAUCGAGAUAAAAGAAAGAAGACAUAAGUCAUAAGAUCAACGACUUGGGAGAGAUGGACCGGUAUGACAAUAUGCAUGCAUGUGAGAGUGCAGGGAAGAAGGCCCGAUAAUUGAGCAUGUGUUUUUGUCUUUAAGAGAUAUUGGCGUGGGUUCGAGCAUGCAUCUGUGGCGAGUAGAGGGAGCGAGACACAACGAUUGUGCAAAAGAGAUCAACAUAUAAAUGCAUGUAUGGAGAGAGAUAUAUAGUAUGGGUGAUAGGAAGCAAGAGUACGUGCAAGAAAGAAAUGUUGAUGGAUAAACUACAGAUAGAUACAGAGAUAGAAAUGCUAGCUAGAGGGACAUCAGCUAGUUUGAGUGUUGGAGAUGACCGCCGGGUGGUUCAGAGGGUGAAGUUAUGUGUGUGUGACAGAAAGAUAAAAAGAGGGCACAUGACUGCAUGUAUAGAGAGAAAACAUAUAUAGUGUGCAUGAUAGGAAGCAAGAGUGAGGGUGAGAAAGAAGGUUGAUGGAGAAACAGAUAAAUAGAAAGAUAAAGAUGCUAGCUAGUGUGCGCUAGAGAUAGGAGUCGAGUGGAUCAGAAGGCUGAGUUAUGUGUGUGGGUGUGAGAGAGAUAGAGAGAGGGUGCAUGUGAGUCACAUACAAACAAAUAUCAGAGAGAAAUGAGAUCCCGAGAGACGGAGUUUUGUGUCUGCGAGAGAGAAAGAUAUUUCACAACGAGAGUGAUAGCUAGAGAGACAUAUGAGGGAACGCAAGAUAUCUCUAGGGAGAGAGUGUGUGUGUGUGUGUGCGACAUACAAGAGAAUGGUGGAGAGACAUGAGACCCUGGGAGACAGAGUUUGUGUUUGUGUGUGAGAAAGAGAUAUUUAAGAGGAAGAGUCGUAGCUUCUCAUACCUAAGGAGAGAAAGACAUAUCUGUGUGAGAGGGGGUGUGCGAGUGGCACACAGGGGAAUAGUAGAGAGAAAUGAGACCCCGGGAGACGAAGUUUGUGUUUGUGUGAGAGAAAGAGAUUUCACAUGGAGAAUCAUAGUUAGAGACACAUAGCAGGGAGCGAGAUAUACUUAGAGAGAGAGAUGGAGUGAUGAAGGUCGAGGGAGAGAGUACUGUCAGUGUGUUACGAAGAUAAAAGAUCAUUGUUGACAUACAAGUAGCACAAGAGAUACCCGAGAGACGAUGAGAGAUACUCCUAUAUAAUCAUGAGUGAUAGCUAUAUGAGACGAAUAUCUGGUUUAAAGGGGAUUCAAAUAUUUAAACUGGAGAUCACGACAUUGAUAAUAUCAUAACACAAAUUGGUGUAUCAAACAUGCAUAUUCAUUUGAAUUUGGGAACGCGUGUAAUGUUAUAUAGUUUGUCAAUAAUAGUGUUCCAUAGAUUCUUUAAUUAGAGAUAAUGCAUGGUUUAUAUGCAAUUAAUGUCUAAACAGGAUUACACUAUAUGUUGCGUGUGUGAAACACAUUAUACAUGUUUGAGAAGUAAAAAAACCCGCAAGAAACACACAUUAAUUGGAGACAGUUAGCGAGGAAUGCAUACAUUGGAUUUCAACAAAAGGUGGUUUCAAAUAUUUGAAAAUCCAAAUUAAGAUGUAUACAACCUUAUGAAUCUGAGAUCAUGCCAUUUGUAAACCAUAUUUAUGUAUAAAGGGUGUUGUGAAUACGUUCGACUACAUCAACCGCGUUAACCUAAUGCUUCCGCUUUCGGUCUACGAGGGUACGUGGACACACUCUCCCCUUCUCGUUGCUAUGCGUCUCCUAGAUAGAUCUUGUGCGAUCAUAGGAAAAUAUUUGAAAUUGCAUGCUACGUUCCCCAACACCAGGCAUGCAGUAGGCACCCGAGGGCAUGUGUGUGGGUGCGGGUGGACGCGCGAGCAUGUGCAUGUGUGGCCUCAACGUGGUCGGGACAUGCAUGGAACAAGCUCAUCGAACUCUCAGCCAUGGUGGCCCAGCUCUAUCUUGAGCGGACUCGUGGUUAUGGAGAUGGGAAAGAAAGGGGUAAGAUGUAAGCUUGUUGCGGGGAGCUUGAUGGCAAGGUCCGGGAAGCCGGGGAGGUAUGAGGCGGUGGCGACGUAGCUCGGGGCGGCUGCCAGAGGUUGGGCUAGUUCGGGAGAGUGGUUGAGGAAGAGAGACUUGAGAUUCUUAUCCAACUACUUUGUGGCAUCAUCGCGGAGUCGGGGAAGAGGUCUGGGGUGCCAAAUAUCGACGGGCGGUGACAAAUCCGAGCGUUGCCUCCGACAACCGAGGGCCAGUCGCAUCGGGCGGCACCCACGGCUAUGUAGCAUCAUGCGUCUACAGUCGGGCGAGGGAGAGGCGAAGGGAGGAAAAUGAGAGAGAAGCAGACACCGGUUGGGCAGCAAGUCACAGAUGAGGCCCUCCAAUGGCUGGGCGAAACCGACGCGAGGUCACCAUUGCAAGAAGCGCGAUGAUGAUGCAAAUGUCUCAUGGUCAUGUUAGUUUUUCUACAACAUCUUGGUUUGGUUAUGAAGGAAAUAUGCCCUAGAGGCAAUAAUAAAGUUGUUAUUUUAUAUUUCCUUAUAUCAUGAUAAAUGUUUAUUAUUCAUGCUAGAAUUGUAUUAACCAGAAACUUGAUACAUGUGUGGAUACAUAGACAAAACAUCGUGUCCCUAGUAAGCCUCUACUAGACUAGCUCGUUAAUCAAAGAUGGUUAAGUUUCCUAACCAUAGAUAUGUGUUGUCAUUUGAUGAACGGAAUCACAUCAUUAGGAGAAUGAUGUGAUGGACAAGACCCAUUCGUUAGCUUAGCAUAAUGAUCAUUAAGUUUUAUUGCUAUUGCUUUCUUCAUGACUUAUACAUAUUCCUCAGACUAUGAGAUUAUGCAACUCCCGAAUACCGUAGGAACACCUUGUGUGCUAUCAAACAUCACAACGUAAGUAGGUGAUUAUAAAGAUGCUCUACAGGUGUCUUCGAAGGUGUUUAUUGGGUUGACAUAGAUCAAGAUUAGGAUUUGUCACUCCGAGUAUCGGAGAGGUAUCUCUAGGCCCUCUCGGUAAUGCACAUCACUAUAAGCCUUGCAAGCAAUGUAACUAAUGAGUUAGUUGUGGGAUGAUGCGUUAUAGAACGAGUAAAGAGACUUGUCGGUAACGAGAUUGAACUAGGUAUGAUGAUACCGACGAUCGAAUCUCGGGCAAGUAACAUACCGAUGACAAAGGGAAUAACAUAUGUUGUUAUUGCGGUUUGACCGAUAAAGAUCUUCGUAGAAUAUGUAGGAACCAAUAUGAGCAUCCAGGUUCUGCUAUUGGUUAUUGACCGGAGAUGUGUCUCGGCCAUGUCUACAUAGUUCUCGAACCCGUAGUGUCCGCAUGCUUAACGUUUGAUGAUGAUUUGUAUUUAUGAGUUAUGGGUUUUGGUGACCGAAGUUUGUUUGGAGUCCCAGAUGAAAUCACGGACAUGACGAGGAGUCUUGAAAGGUCUAGAGUUAAAGAUUGAUAUAUUGGAAGGUAGUAUUCGGACACCGGAAGGGUUCCGGAGUGUAUCGGGUACAUAGCGGAGUACCGGAGGGGUUACCGGAACCCCCCGGGGGAAGAUAUGGGCCAUAUGGACCAUAGGAGGGAGGCUAACCAACCCACAAGGGGCUGGUGCACCCCCCACAAGGGAGGAGGUUGAAUUGGUUUAGGGAAGGCCCCCCCCCCCUUUCCUUCUCCUACUCCCUCUCCUUCCCCCUUUUCCACCUCCAUGAGAAGGAAAAGAAGGGGGGGCGAAUCCUACUAGGACUAGGAGUCCUAGUAGGACUCCCCCCUUGGAGCGCCCCCUCUAGGUCGGCCUCCUCCUCCUCCCCUCUGAUACGUCUCCAACGUAUCUAUAUUUUUUUAUUGUUACAUGCUAUUAUAUUAUCAACCUUGGAUGUUUUAUAUGCAUUUAUAUGCUAUUUUAUAUGAUUUUUGGGACUGACCUAUUAACCUAGAGCCCAGUGCCAGUUUCUGUUUUUUCCUUGUUUUAGAGUAUCACAGAAAAGGAAAAUCAAACGGAGUCCAAUUGACCUGAAACUUCACGGAACUCAUUUUUGGACCAUAAGAAGCCCACGAAGUAUCGGAGAUGGACCAGGAGAGUCCCGGGCUGCCCAACCCCCUGGGCGCGCGCCCUGCCUCGUGGACAGCCCGGAGGUCCACCGACGUACUUCUUCCUCCCAUAUAUACCCAUAUACCCUAAAAACUUCGGGGAGCACAAUAGAUCGGGAGUUCGCUGCCAAAAGCCUCCGUAGCCACCGAAAACCAAUCUAGACCCGUUCCGGCACCCUGCCGGAGGGGGAAUCCCUCUCCGGUGGCCAUCUUCAUCAUCUCGGCACUCUCCAUGACGAGGAGGGAGUAGUUCUCCCUCGAGGCUGAGGGUAUGUACCAGUAGCUAUGUGUUUGAUCUCUCCCUCUCUCUCGUGUUCUUGAGGUGGUUGAUACGUCCAUUUUGCAUCAUGCUUUUAUAUCGAUAUUUUUUGCAUUAUGGGUUGUUAUUUCACAUUAUGUCACAAUACUUAUGGCUAUUCUCUCUUAUUUUACAAAGUUUACAUAAGGAGGGAGAAUGCCAGCAGCUGGAAUUCUGGGCUGGAAAAGGAGCAAAUAUUAUAGACCUAUUAUGCACAACUCCAAAAGUCCUGAAACUCCACGGAAUACCUUAUAAUAAAUAAUGAAAAAUCCUUGCCAAAGAUAAAGACCAGGGGGCUCACACCCUUCUCACGAGGGUGGGGGCGCCCCCCCUAGGGCGCGCCCCCCUACCUCGUGGGCCCCCUGGUGGCUCUCCGAUGACCAUCUUCUCCUAUAUGAAGUCUUUCGUCGGAAAAAAAAUAAGAAGCAACCUUUCGGGACGAAACUGCGUCGCCACGAGGCGGAACCUUGGUGGAUCCAAUCUAGAGCUCCGGCAGAGCUGUUCUGCCGGGGAAACUUCCCUCCCAGAGGGGGAAAUCAUCACCAUCGUCAUCACCAACGCUCCUCUCAUUGGGAGAGGGAAAUCUCCAUCAACAACUUCAUCAGCACCAUCUCAUCUCAAAACCCUAGUUCAUCUCUUGUAUCCAAUUCUUGUCUCCAAGUCCGGGAUUGGUGCUAGUAGUGUUAAUUACUCCUUAGAGUUGAUGCUAGUUGGUUUAAUUAGUGGAAGAUCAUAUGUUCAGAUUCUUUAUGCAUAUUAUUACCCCUCUGAUUAUGAACAUGAAUAUGCUUUGUGAGUAGUUACGUUUGUUCCUAAGGACAAGGGAGAAGUCUUGCUAUUAGUAGUCAUGUGAAUUUGGUAUUCGUUCGAUAUUUUGAUGAGAUGUAUGUUGUCUAGCCUCUAGUGGUGUUAUGUGAACGUCGACUGCAUAACACUUCACCAUUAUUUGGGCCUAGAGGAAGGCAUUGGGAAGUAAUAAGUAGAUGAUGGGUUGCUAGAGUGACAGAAGCUUAAACCCUAGUUUAUGCAUUGCUUCGUAAGGGGCUGAUUUGGAUCCAUAUGUUUCAUGCUAUGGUUAGGUUUACCUUAAUACUUUUGUUGUAUUUGUGGAUGCUUGCAAUAGAGGUUAAUCAUAAAUGGGAUGCUUGUUCAAGUAAGAAUAGCACCCAAGCACCGGUCCACCCACAUGUCAAAUUAUCAAAGUACCGAACGCGAAUCAUAUGAGCGUGAUGAAAACUAGCUUGACGAUAUUCCCAUGUGUCCUCGGGAGCGCUUUUCCUUAUAUAAGAGUUUUUCCAGGCUUGUCCUUUGCUACAAAAAGGAUUAGGCCACCUUGCUGCACUUUAUUUACUUUUGUUACUUGUUGCUCGUUACAAAUUAUCUCACCACAAAACUAUCUGUUACCACUUAUUUCAAUACUUGCAGAGAAUACCUUGAUGAAAACCGUUUAUCAUUUCCUUCUGCUCCUCAUUGGGUUCUACACUCUUACUUAUCGAAAGGACUACGAUAGAUCCCCUAUACUUGUGGGUCAUCAGUGGUACGAUCUUGAUGUAUCGCAAGCUUUGCUAUUAUAGUUGGAUCUUAUGAUGUUUCUCCCCCUCUACUCUCUUGUAAUGGAUUGAGUUUUCCCUUUGAAGUUAUCUUAUCGGAUUGAGUCUUUAAGGAUUUGAGAACACUUGAUGUAUGUCUUGUGUGGGAUAACCGUGGUGAAAAUGGGUUAUUCUAUUGAUUCACUUGAUGUAUGUUUUGGUGAUCAACUUGUGGGUUCCGUGACCUUGGGAACCUAUGCAUAGGGGUUGGCACACGUUUUCGUCUUGACUCUCCAGUAGAAACUUUGGGGCACUCUUUGAAGUACUUUUGUGUUGGUUGAAUAGAUGAAUCUGAGAUUGUGUGAUGCAUAUCGUAUAAUCAUACCCACGGAUACUUGAGGUGACAAUUGAGUAUCUAGGUGACAUUAGGGUUCUGGUUUAUUUGUGUCUUAAGGUGUUAUUCUAGUAUGAACUCUAUGAUAGAUUGAAUGGAAAGAAUAGCUUCGUGUUAUGUUACUACGAACUCUUGAAUAGAUCGAUCAGAAAGGAUAACUUUGAGGUGGUUUUGUACCCUACCAUAAUCUCUUCGUUUGUUCUCUGCUACUAGUGACUUUGGAGUGACUCUUUGUUGCAUGUUGAGGGAUAGUUAUAUGAUCCAAUUAUGUUAUUAUUGUUGAGAGAACUUGCACUAGUGAAAGUAUGAACCCUAGGCCUAGUUUAUGCUCACUUUUAUCCUUAGUUACCUUGCUGUUUUUAUAAUUUCAGAUUACAAAAACCAUUAUCUACUAUCCAUAUUGCACUUGUAUCACCAGCUCUUCGCCGAACUAGUGCACCGAUAUAAUUUACCAUUGUAUUGGAUGUGUUGGGGACACAAGAGACUCUUUGUUAUUUGGUUGCAGGGUUGCUUGAGAGAGACCAUCUUCAUCCUACGCCUCCCAUGGAUUGAUAAACCUUAGGUCAUCCACUUGAGGGAAAUUUGCUACUAUCCUACAAACCUCUGCACUUGGAGGCCCAACAAUGUCUACAAGAAGAAGGUUGUGUAGUAGACAUCAAGCUCUUUUCUGGCGUCGUUGCCGGGGAGGUUAGUGCUUGAAGGUAUAUCUUUAGAUCUUGCAAUCGAAUCUUUUUGUUUCUUAUUUUAUCACUAGUUUACUUUAUAAAAGGAAAUUACAAAAAAUGGAAUUAAGUUUACCUCAUACGCUUCAUCUUUUUAAUAUCUUUCGUGAGUAUGAUGGGAAGGAAAAUUGUGCCAAAAUGUUAGAAGAAGAAUGCAUUAGAAUGUUUGGCACUAAAUAUUUUAAUGUUGAGCAUGAUUGCAAUGUUGUUAGUAUGAAUUCCUUGAAUAUCCAUGAUGCUAAUGAUAUGCAAAGCCAUAAGCUUGGGGAUGCUACGUUUGAUGAAGAUGAUAUUUUUAGUCCCCCAAGUUUUGAUGUGCAAAUUUAUUAUGAUGAGAGCAUGCCCGCUAUCUAUGAUGAUUAUUGUGAUGACUUGUAUGCUGUAAAGAAUAAUGAUAUCCAUGAAACUUGUCAUCAUGAUUUUAACUUUCAAUUGGAUUAUGCCUCACAUGAUAGUUAUUUUGUUGAGUUUGCUCCCACUACUAUUCAUGAGAAGAAAUUUGCUUAUGUGGAGAGUAAUAAAAAUUCUAUGCUUGUAGAUCAUGAAAAGAAUGCUUUAGGUGCUGGUUAUAUUGUUGAAUUCAUUCAUGAUGCUACUGAAAAUUAUUAUGAGGGAGGAACAUAUGCUUGUAGGAAUUGCAAUAAUAUCAAGUUUCCCCUCUAUGUGCUUAAAAUUUUAAAGUUAUGCUUGUUUUACCUUCCUAUGCAAGUUGGUUAUUGUUCCCAUAAGUUGUUUACUCACAAAAUGCAUAUGAAUAGGAAGUGGGUUAGACUUAAAUGUGCUAGUCAUAUUCUUCAUGAUGCUCUCUUUAUGUUUCAAUUCUUACCCUUUAUGUGAGCAUCAUUGAAAUCAUCAUGCCUAGCUAGGGGCGUUAAACAUUAGCGCUUGUUGGGAGGCAACCCAAUUUUUAUUUUUGUUCCUUGCUUUUUGUUCCUGUUUAGUAAUAAAUUAAUCAUCUAUCCUCUAUUAUGACUGAUUUUUUAUGUUUUAAUUAGUGUUUGUGCCAAGUAGAACCGUUGGGAAGACUUGGGGAAAGUCUUUGCGAUCAUGCUGUAAAAAACAGAAACUUUAGUGCUCACGAGAAUUGCUGCCAUUUUUUAUUGGAGAGUGCUAUCUAGUUAAUUUGGCAGAUGAUUAAUAGAUAAAUUCCUCACGUAUAGAAAUUUAUUUUAGAAUUUUUGGGGUUCAAAAAGUUUGCGUUAGUUACAUAUUACUACAGACUGUUCUGUUUUUGACAGAUUCUGUUUUCAUAUGUUGUUUACUUAUUUUGAUGAAUCCUUGGCUAGUAAAAGAGUUUAUAAACCAUAGAGAAGUUGGAAUACAGUAAUACUGCUUACCAUCAAUGUCUUAUUUUGAUUCGGUGCUAUUGUUAGAUGAAGCGGCUCGGACCAACAUUACAUGACCACGUUCAUGAGACCGGUUCUACCGACGUGCUUUUGCACACAGGUGGCUGGCGGUUGUCUGUUUCUUCAACUUUAGUUGAAUCGAAUUUGACUACGGCCGGUCCUUGUUGAAGGUUAAAAUAGAACACUUGACGAAAAAUCAUUGUGGUUUUGAUGCGUAGGUAAGAACGGUGCUUUCUAGAAGCCCGUAGCAGCCACGUAAAACUUGCAGCAACAAAGUAGAGGACGUCUAACUUGUUUUCGCAGGGCAUGUUGUGAUGUGAUAUGGUCAAGACGUGAUGCGAUUUAAAUUGUUGUAUGAGAUAAUCAUGUUUUGUAAAAGUUAUCGGCAACUGGCAGGAGCCUUAUGGUUGUCGCUUUAUUAUAUGAAAUGCAAUCGCUAUAUAAUUGCUUUACUUUAUCACUAAGCGGUAGCAGUCGUAGAAGCAAUAGUUGGCGAGGCGACAACGACGCUACGAUGGAGAUCAAGGUGUCAAGCCGGUGACGAUGGAGAUCAUGACGGUGCUUUGGAGAUGGAGAUCAAAGGCACAAGAUGAUGAUGGCCAUAUCAUCUCACAUAUUUUGAUUGCAUGUGAUGUUUAUCUUUUAUGCAUCUUAUUUUGCUCAGUACGGCGGUAGCAUUAUAAGAUGAUCCCUCACUAAAAUUUCAAGGUAUAAGUGUUCUCCCUGAGUAUGCACCAUUGCGACAGUUCAUCGUGCCGAGACACCACGUGAUGAUCGGGUGUGAUAAGUUCUACGUUCACAUACAACGGGUGCAAGACAGUUUUGCAUGUGCGGAAUACUCGGGUUAAACUUGAUGAGUGUCGGUGUCAAAACCGGCGGAUCUCGGGUAGGGGGUCCCGAACUGUGUGUCUAAGGCGGAUGGUAACAGGAGGUAGGGGACACGAUGUUUUACCCAUGUUCGGGCCCUCUUGAUGGAGGUAAAAACCUGGGCCCUCUUGAUGGAGGUAAAACCCUACGUCCUGCUUGAUUAUUCUUGAUAAUAUGAGUAGUACAAGAGUUGAUCUACCACGAGAUCGGAGAGGCUAAACCCUAGAAGCUAGCCUAUGGUAUGAUUGUAUGUUGUCCUACAGACUAAAACCCUCCGGUUUAUAUAGACACCGGAGGGGGUUAGGGUUACACAAGGUCGGUUACAAAGGAGGAGAUAUACAUAUCCGUAUUGCCUAGCUUGCCUUCCACGCCAAGGAGAGUCCCAUUCGGACAUAGGACGAAGUCUUCAAUUUGUAUCUUCAUAGUCCAAUAGUCCGGCCAAAGGAUAUAGUCCGGCUGUCCGGAGACCCCCUAAUCCAGGACUCCCUCAGUAGCCCCUGAACCAGGCUUCAAUGACGAUGAGUCCGGCGCGCAGUGUUGUCUUCGGCAUUGCAAGGCGGGUUCCUCCUCCGAAUACACCAUGAAAGAAUUUGAAUAUAAGGAUAGUGUCCGACCCUGCAAAAUAAGUUCCACAUACCACCGUAGAGAGAAUAAUAUUACCACAAAUCUAAUCUGCUGACACGUUUUGGCAGCAUGACAUCACGCCACGGCCCGAUAAUCAUUUAAACUGUUUUUCUUUAACCAGCCCCACACAUAACGCGAGGCGGUUUCUCGACAUGUCUUGUCAAAGCAGAGAUCGUGUUCCCCUUAUUACGGGAUUCUCAUCAAACGGACGUGGGUAACCCAACCGCGCCAUCAAUUAUGGCGCUUGGGGGAUAAGCGAGUUUUACCAGGCUAGUGGGGGCGCAUAGUUUAGUCCGCCCUUAUAAAGGGAUAAGAUCUCACCCUUUUCUAUCCACGCCUUCUUCCUCCUUGCUCAUCCAUUCUCGUGCACUCGAGCUCCAGCGCCCAAGUCCGCAUCCUUCUCCCUAACUCUCUCCAAACAUGUCCGAAGCGGGAGGCAAGUGGAUGGCCUCCUCCGUCACGGAGGGGCACAUCAAAAAACUGCGUGGAGCCGGAUACUUAGCCGCGGAUAUCGCGCACCGGCUACCUGCCGUGGGGCAGAUCGUCCCUACCCCGAAACCUCAUGAAAGGGUGGUUUUCCUCCCCCACUUCGUCCGCAGACUGGGGUUUCCCCUCCAUCCAUUCGUCUGCGGCCUCAUGCUCUAUUACGGGCUGGACUUUCAUGAUCUGGCUCUAAAUUUCAUCCUCAACAUCUCGGCAUUCAUCGUUGUGUGUGAGGCUUUCCUCCGCAUCCGGCCCCACUUCGGCCUAUGGCUAAAGACCUUCAAUAUCAAGCCGAAGGUAGUAGGUGGACAACAAGCAGAAUGGGGCGGAGCCAUGGUGGGCAAAAUUCCCAACGUUACCUGGCUCGAGGGCUCCUUCGUGGAGACCGUAAAGGGGUGGCAAUCGGGGUGGUUCUACGUCACCGAGUCGCGCGACACCAACUGGGUAGCGGCCCCCGAGUUUCGAUCCGGAAUCCCCACACGGCUCACUUCCUGGAAGGAGAAGGGCCUGUCUUGGGGUUCAUCGAUGGAGCUAGACGGACUCCAGAAGUGUAUCCGGAACAUGACAAGCAAGAAACUUAAGCUUGUCAACAUAGUCCAGGUCAUGCUCUUUCACCGGAUCCUCCCGUGUCAACAACGAGAUUUCAACUUAUGGGAGUUCGACCCGGCCCAACACCAGACUCUAAGCGAGCUCUUCGACACGAUGCAUAAGGAUGUCUGGAAGGUGCUGUUCAAGGGCGUCGAGGUCCCUCCUUCUCUUACCGAGGACCGUGGGCUAAGCGUGAAGCGCCCUGCGAAUCCGGUAAGUUCUGUACAUCUGGUAGGAUAUUUAUUUCCCAUAGCUUAACCAUGUGCGGGGUCUGAGUUCCCACGCCUUUGAUAGGACUGGGUGGAGACAUCGGAGCAGAUUAACUGUCCGGCCCCUCCGCCCGAAGACCCCGCAGACGCUCUUCUGAUGAAGAUGCAGACUCCGGCUCCUUAUGAUGUGCUGGAUAAGACCAAGAAGAAGGCCAAGGGAACCCGAAAGAGUUCCCGGCGCCAUGUGGUAUUGGACUCAUCAUCCGAUAACUCCGAGACACACUCCUCCCAUGAAAACAAGGAGAAGGAAGACGAAGACUCUCCCCCUCCAGCCGAGGGAGACAAGAAAAGGAAGGCCGCCCCAACCGGGGAGGCCGAAGGGUCCAAGAAGGGAAGGACUCUCCUUCCGGACUGUUCCACCGCCCCCGCCAACGGCGAAGACGAGUGGCUGCUCAGGGCCAAGCCCCUGGCGAAGUCGUAAGUAUUCGGAUACCAGAGUAACUCAUAGCAUACUUUUGUUGCACUGCUUCUCCUAACGUCAAACAUGGUUAUGCAGUCUGCCCCAAGCCCGUAUCGACAUAUCAUCGUCGGACGGUUCCUUGGGCUCGUCAUACAUGGAUAGUGAUACACUUCCAACCGCCACCUCUCCUUGCCCUACGGACAAUGCCGAGGUACUGUCUCAAGGGGCACCGAGCCGGGGGGAGACAGUCCCGGAGGCGCCUCAAGGCGACCUUCCGGACUCCAGGAGCAAAGGAAGCAAGGCUCCCAGGGGCUCCAAGUUCGGCCCGCAGCCGGACACUACGCCGGAACCUUCAGUGGUUCCGGACUCGGGCAGGCGGCCCCCUUCCAAGAGGGGCAAGCCGUCCGUGCCGGUGGCCUAUGUCCAUCCAGAGGCACCGGACGAACUGCUGGGAGCUCUUAGCGGCGCUUCCAUCGACGAAGAGCACCACACUAUUAUGAGUGCGGUGAUCAAGAAGGUUCAGUCCGCCAAGAGCGGACUGACUGAAGCCUGUACCAGCCUUCUAACAGGCUUUGAGGUAAGUAUUUAAAAUAUAAGAAAAAUAAUACCGCAUAUACAGUAGCCCCUGAUGCUCUGUUUGGUGUUCACAAAGAAAAGCCGAAUAGAGGAUCGAAUAAUAUCUGAGGAGUCUAAUAUAAGUAUGUUUGUAUGCGUAUGCAGGCUUCGCUGCUGACCUCUGCCGCACUGACUGUGGAGGUCGCCGCACUGAAGCAGGACCUCGAGGGGUCCGAGAAAGAGCUCGGCCUUGCCAAGAGGCAGCUCGAGGAGAACAAAGGUAAGUAAUACCUUGUCUAUAUAAAAAAGAAAAUGUGGUUGCGAAAUGACAGGAUCAUCAUGAAUGUGCCAGGGGCCACGACCGUAGUGGCGACCCUGAAGCAAGCGUUGUUCGAGGCCGAGAACAAAGCGGCCAAGAAGCACACCGAGCGGGAAAAACAAGAGGCACGGGUGGGCAAGGUGCAACAAGAGCUCCAGGCUCUCGUGAAAAAGCACGAGGCUUUGGAGCUUGACUCGAAGACGCGAGAGUCCGUGCUUGCCGUGGCCCUCGAGAGCGCAGAGCAUGCCAAGGCCGAAGCCCAAAAGGCCCUCCAGGAGAUUGAGGCGAUGAGGAAGAUAGCGGCGGGUAAGGCAUUCAAUAUGCAAAGCAAGCAUGUGAAAGUAAAUUACUUGUUACUUACCCGAGUCCGGAGCUCUCCAGGAGCAUUCGCAGAUUUGCCCCGCAGCGUGUCGGAUGCCACGAAGUAUUACCAGGACGAGGAGGGAAGCUCGACGGAGAAGUUGUUCUGGUCUCAGUAUACUGGGACCAAACACCCGAUGCCUAUGAGCGACCAGCUGAAGCAACUGGUCGAGCUGCACAAGGCGGGCGAACAGGCCAUGAGGGGCCUUAUAGUCCGGAUGUGGCCUGGCGACUCCCUUCCCAACAGCUACUUCGUCCUGGUGAGGCGGCUUGUGGAUGCCUGCCCACGGCUGGAAGUCAUAAAGCGGUCCGUCUGCACCGAAGGUGCACGCCGGGAUUUUGCCCGUGCAAAGGUGCACUAGGCCAAGAUGGACGCCGAGAAGCUGGUGAAGGAGGGGCCGCCGCGGGGCAAGGAGCAUCGCCACCCCGAGAUGUAUUAUGAGGGUGUCCUGAAGGGUGCCCGUCUUGUGGCGGACGAGUGUGCGAAGGAUGUAAUGUUUGAAUGAACUUGCUCGUGUGAUCCUGUAUUAUGAAAACUUGUUCAUAUGCGCUAUGCAACGCUGGUUUGAAUUUAAAAUAUUACCUUUUGUGCGGCUAUUUAUAAAAUCUGAGAGAUGGCCAGUCAUUGGCUUCUGCCCCCAUGCCACGAGUGCUGGGGUGUUCGGGAUAAAUCUGAGGACUCUUUUUCCCAUUGUUGGGUCCUUCGAGGGAGGUGCUCAGCACAACGAACAAGGCAAUCGAACUAUAAUGCUUUAUCACUCUCACUUAGCCAUAGAAUUCUAUAAUUUUAAAUUUUAGCGAAGCCCCUAGUAUUCGAAAGGCCGAAUUCGGGCGCUAUACACGCCUUAAGCCGGACAAAGCCGACUCCUCGCUCUAAGCGGCAUAAGUCUUUAGGGACUCGAGACCUCUCGAACAGCGACCAACUCUCGCCUUAUCAUGACAGUCAGUUUUAGCUUUCUCUACUGAGGUGCUUAGCCGAGCUGAACCGGGGCACAAUCGCAGUAGUUCUCUCAGUGCUACCUUAGCCGAUAUAGCGGAACAUAAGGUACCAAAACAUGGGAGCCAGGCAAACCCAACUAUUAACCCAAGACAUGAUUCGGAGCUGAUGCAUAUAAUGCUAUAAGUUCAGGGUGCCGCACUGUCGAAAGUGUUCAGACUUCUCACGCCGUAUUAUGGGGUAUGCUUAAGCCCCUAGCGUAUUGGCCGUACCAGAGUGUACGGGUGCUGAAUGUCAUGAAUGAACACACACACACACACACACACACACACACACACACACAUAUAUAUAUAUAUAUAUAUAUAUAAGAAUGCGAUAAUAGUCUAGUGCUAUGCAUUGUUUAUUCAAAAAGGUGCGUCGAAGCAGAAUGAUACAAGUAGUGCGAUAAGCAAAAAGUAGGACUAUUUAACAUGUCCCCUCCAAGGGCAAGCUGAGGAAUGGUAUUUAAAGCAGGUAUUUCACUCGUUAUCAGAGACCACCUAGGAAUUCCUUGAUGCGACGUAGCUUUCUGCCUCCUUGGUUGUUGUAUCGUGUGUCCGGCAAUCGUACUGCCGGACGGGGCUUCCAGAGAUUAAAGUCCUGAAAGGAAAAAAAUAACAAAUCGGGAAGCCCCUAGUGCGGUUGAGCAUGUACAUAGAUGGCCUCGGAACACUGGAGACCGAAAGGUCGAACGUGAAUAAUAUAGUAGAUAUGAUCAACAUAGAGAUGUUCACCAUUGAAGACUGCUCCAUCUCACAUGAUGAUCGGACAUGGUUUAGUUGAUUUGGAUCACGUAAUCAUUUAGAUGACUCGAGGGAUGUCUAUCUAAGUGGGAGUUCUUAAGUAAUAUGAUUAAUUGAACUUAAUUUAUCAUGAACUUAGUCCUGAUAGUAUUUGCAUAUCUAUGUUGUAGAUCGAUAGCUCAUGUAUAGCUCCCCUGUUUUAUUUUUGAUAUGUUCCUAGAGAAAACUAAGUUGAAAGAUGAUAGUAGCAAUGAUGCAGACUGGGUCCGUGAUCUGAGGAUUAUCCUCAUUACUACACAGAAGAAUUAUGUCCUUGAUGCACCGCUAGGUGACAGACCUGUUGCAGGAGCUGAUGCAGACGUUAUGAACAUUUGACAAGCUCGGUAUGAUGACUACUUGAUAGUUUAGUGCGCCAUACUUUACAUCUUAGAAUCGGGACUUCAAAAACAUUUUGAACGCCACCAGAGCAUAUGAGAUGUUCCAAGAGCUGAAAUUGGUAUUUCAAACUCAUGCCCGUGUUAAGAGGUAUGAGACCUCUGACAAGUACUUUGCCUACAAGAUGGAGGAGAAUAGCUCAGCUAGUGAGCAUGUGCUCAGAAUGUCUGAGUACUACAAUCACUUGAAUCAAGUCGGAGUUAAUCUUCUAGAUAAGAUAGUGAUUGAUAGAGUUCUCUAGUCACUAUCACCAAGUUACUAGAACUUCAUGAUGAACUAUAAUAUGCAAGGGAUAACAAAAACAAUUCCUAAGCUCUUCGUGAUGCUGAAAUCGGUGAAGGUAGAAAUCAAGAAAAACAUCAAGUGUUGAUGAUUUACAAGACCACUAGUUUCAAGUAAAAGGGCAAGGGAAAGAAAAGGAACUUCAAGAGGAAUAGCAAGCAAGUUGCCACUCCCAUGAAGAAGCCCAAAGCUAGACCUAAGCAUGAAACUGAGUGCUUCUAUUGCAAAGGGAAUGGUCACUGGAAGCGGAACUGCCCCAAAUAUUUGGCGAAUAAGAAGGAUGGCAAAGUGAAAGGUAUAUUUGAUAUACAUGUUAUUGAUGUGUACCUUACUAAUGCUCGUAGUAGUGCAUGGGUAUUUGAUACUGGUUCUGUUGCUCAUAUUAGCUAAGGACGAGGUGACGAUGCGCGUUGGAAAUAGUUCCAAGGUCGAUGUGAUCGCCGUCGGCACACUACCUCUACAUCUACCUUUAGGGUUUUAGACCUAAAUAAUUGCUAUUUGGUGCCAGCGUUAAGCAUGAACAUUAUAUCUGGUUCUUGUUUGAUGCGAGAUGGUUAUUCAUUUAAAUCGGAGAAUAAUUGUUGUUCUAUUUAUAUGAGUAAAAUCUUUAUGGUCAUGCACCUUUUAUGAGUGGUAUAUUUUUGUUGAAUCUCGAUCGUAGUGAUACACAUAUCAUAAUAUUGAAGCCAAAAGAUGCAAAGUUAAUAAUGAUAGUGCAAUUUAUUUGUGGCACUGCCGUUUAGGUCAUAUUGGUGUAAAGCGCAUGAAGAAACUCCAUACCGACGGGCUUUUGGAAUCACUUGAUACUUGCAAACCAUGCCUCAUGGGCAAGAUGACUAAGACUCCGUUCUCCGGAACAAUGGAGCGAGCCACUGACUUAUUGGAAAUAAUACAUAUUGAUGUAUGCGGUCCGAUGAGUGUUGAGGCUCGCGGCGGGUAUCGUUAUUUUCUGACCCUCACAGAUGGUUUGAGCAGAUAUGGGUAUAUCUACUUAAUGAAACAUAAGUCUGAAACAUUUGAAAAGUUCAAAGAAUUUCAGAGUGAAGUGGAAAAUCAGCGUAACAAGAAAAUAAAGUUUCUACGAUCUGAUCGUAGAGGCGAAUAUUUGAGUUACGAGUUUGGCCUUCAUUUAAAACAAUGUGGAAUAGUUUCACAACUCACGCCACCUGGAACACCACAACAUAAUGGUGUGUCCGAACGUCGUAACCGUACUUUAUUAGAUAUGGUGCGAUCUAUGAUGUCUCUUACCGAUUUACCACUAUCGUUUUGGGGUUAUGCUUUAGAGACGGCUGCAUUCACGCUAAAUAUGGCACCAUCUAAAUCCUUUGAGACGACGCCAUAUGAACUAUGGUUUGGCAAGAAACCUAAGCUGUCGUUUCUUAAAGUUUGGGGCUGCGAUGCUUAUGUGAAAAAGCUUCAACCUGAUAAGCUCGAACCCAAAUCGAAGAAAUGCGUCUUCAUAGGAUACCCAAAGGAAACUAUUGGGUACACCUUCUAUCACAAAUCCGAAGGCAAGAUAUUCAUUGCUAAGAAUGGAUCCUUUCUAGAGAAGGAGUUUCUCUCGAAAGAAGUGAGUGCGAGGAAAGUAGAACUUGAUGAGGUAAUUGUACCUUCUCCCGAAUGGGAAAGUAGUUCAUCACAGAAAUCAGUUCCAGUGAUUCCUACACUAAUUAGUGAGGAAGCUAAUGAUGAUGAUCAUGAAACUUCAGAUCAAGUUACUACCGAACCUCGUAGGUCAACCAGAGUACGAUCCGCAAUAGAGUGGUAUGGUAAUCCUGUUCUGUAAGUCAUAUUACUAGACCAUGACGAACCUACGAACUAUGAGGAAGCGAUGAUGAGCCCAAAUUCCGAUAAAUGGCUUGAGGCCAUGAAAUCUGAGAUGGGAUCCAUGUAUGAGAACAAAGUGUGGACUUUGGUUGACUUGCCCGAUGAUCGGCAAGCCAUAGAGAAUAAAUGGAUCUUCAAGAAGAAGACUGCCGCUGACGGUAAUGUUACUGUCUACAAAGCUCGACUUGUUGCGAAAGGUUUUUGACAAGUUCAAGGGGUUGACUACGAUGAGACUUUCUCACCCGUAGCGAUGCUUAAGUCUGUCCGGAUCAUGUUAGCAAUUGCCGCAUUUUAUGAAAUCUGGCAAAUGGAUGUCAAAACUGCAUUCCUUAAUGGAUGUCUCAAAGAAGAGUUGUAUAUGAUGCAACCAGAAGCUUUUGUAGAUCCUAAAGGUGCUAACAAAGUGUGCAAACUCCAGCGAUCCAUCUAUGGACUGGUGCAAGCAUCUCGGAGUUGGAACUCUUCCGCUUUCUCACCCGUAACCAGAAACUUGAUACAUGUGUGGAUACAUAGACAGAACACUGUGUCCCUAGUAAGCCUCUACUAGACUAGCUCGUUAAUCAAAGAUGGUUAAGUUUCCUAACCAUAGACAUGUGUUGUCAUUUGAUGAACGGGAUCACAUCAUUAGGAGAAUGAUGUGAUGGACAAGACCCAUCCGUUAGCUUAGCAUAAUGAUCGUUAAGUUUUAUUGCUAUUACUUUCUUCAUGACUUAUACAUAUUCCUCAGACUAUGAGAUUAUGCAACUCCCGAAUACCGGAGGAACACCUUGUGUGCUAUCAAACAUCACAACGUAACUGGGUGAUUAUAAAGAUGCUCUACAGGUGUCUCCGAAGGUGUUUGUUGGGUUGGCAUAGAUCGAGAUUAGGAUUUGUCACUCCGGGUAUCGAAGAGGUAUCCCUGGGCCCUCUCGGUAAUGCACAUCACUAUAAGCCUUGCAAGCAAUGUGGCUAAUGAGUUAGUUGCGGGAUGAUGCAUUACGGAACGAGUAAAGAGACUUGCCAGUAACGAGAUUGAACUAGGUAUGAUGAUACCGACGACCGUAUCUCGGGCAAGUAACAUACCGAUGACAAAGGGAAUAACAUAUGUUGUUAUUGCGGGUUGACCGAUAAAGAUCUUCAUAGAAUAUGUAGGAACCAAUAUGAGCAUCCAGGUUCCGCUAUUGGUUAUUGACCGGAGAUGUGUCUCGGUCAUGUAUACAUAGUUCUCGAACCCGUAGGGUCCACACACUUAACGUUCGGUGACAAUUUGUAUUUAUGAGUUAUGUGUUUUGGUGAUCGAAGUUUGUUCAGAGUCCCGGAUGAGAUCACAGACAUGAUGAGGAGUCUCGAAAUGGUUGAGAGGUAAAGAUUGAUAUAUCGGAAGGUAGUAUUCGGACACCGAAAGGGUUUCGGAGUGUAUCGGGUACAUAGCGGAGUACUAGAGGGGUUACCGGAACCCCUCGGGGGAAGAUAUGGGCCAUAGGAGGGAGGCUAACCAGCCCACAAGGGGCUGGUGCGUCCUCCACAAGGGUGGAGGCCGAAUUGGUUUAGGGAAGGGGCCCCACCCCCUUUCCUUCUCCUACUCCCUCUCCUUCCCCCUUUCCACCUCCAUGAGAAGGAAAAGAAGGGGGCUAAAUCCUACUAGGACUAGGAGUCCUAGUAGGACUCCCCCCUUGGCGCGCCCCCUCUAGACCGGCCGCCUCCUCCUCCCCUCCUUUAUAUACGGGGGUGGGGGCACCCCAAAGGCACAUCAAUUGUUCUCCUAGCCGUGUGUGGUGUCCCCCUCCACAGUUUACUCCUCCGGUCACAACGUCGUAGUGCUUAGGUGAAGCCCUACGCGGAUCACAUCACCAUCACCAUUACAACGCCGUCGUGCUGACAGAACUCUCCCUCGACCCUCUGCUGGAUCAAGAGAUCGAGGGACGUCAUCGAGCUGAACGUGUGCUGAACUCGGAGGUGCCGUAUGUUCGGUACUAGAUCGGUUGGAUCGUGAAGACAUUCGACUACAUCAAUCGCGUUAACCUAACGCUUCCGCUUUCGGUCUACGAGGGUACGUGGACACACUCUCCCCCCUCGUUGCCAUGCAUCUCCUAGAUAGAUCUUGCAUGAUCGCAAGAUUUUUUUUUGAAAUUGCAUGCUACGUUCCCAACAGGUUAGUGAUCAGUUCGCAUUAGAUUAGGGAUGAAUUAGUGGUUAGCUAGGAACUUAGGAUUAGAUUAGCCACUGAUCGGUGUGCCCACAUGGUUAGAUUUGGCUUACUACUAAUUAGUUUAGGAUUAGGCCACUCACUUGUGGGCAAUGCCUAACAUAACGUCCAUCUUAACGGUUAAUCUAACUGAUUUAACCUUGUCAUACCGCAUGGAUACCCGAUGGGUGGGCCACCCCAAUCAUAAUUGUGAUCAAUAAUCAUUGAACCGGUCACUAAUCGAAAGUGGUAGCUCUUUGCGAAAAUCGUCGCAAAAGUAAUAGCCUUUUGCUAGAUCUCGCAAAAGUGGUAGUUUUCAACAACAUUCGUCACAAAAAUGGUAGUAUUUCGCUCUUUAUCCCACUAGAAAACGAGGCUGGCCUUCUUUCCACAAUAAGGGGAGUUGAGGAAUGGGGAUCAAAGCUUCCGUAGAACGGUGAGCUGUCUGGAAAUGGGAGCAACCAAAUACACAUGUUAGAGCAACUCUAACCGACCUCCUAUAAUUUAAAGGAAUAAACGAUCGAGAAUCCUUUAGAGGAGUACUUUGACUCCUCUAAUAAAUGGUUGUUUCUAUUUGAUCCCCUAAAUUUAAGGAGUAAAAAAAUUAAACAAAAAUUUGUAAAAAAACUAAUAAAAACCACACGUUUCAAUAGAAACACCACUUCCUUAACUGCUCCUAUUAAUAUCUGAUCAAUACUUUCUCCGUCUCUUAAGUGACUACAUUGUUUCUUUCCUCUUUCGGCUUCUCGAGAUUGCACACUUUUUUCUUCUCCUCCUCUUCAAACUUGGACAUAACAUCCUCUCUAGCCUCAUCUCUAGCAACUACCGCACCAACAUCUAACAAUUUUCUCGCUAUAAAUAUAUCAAUGUACUCUUCUUCCCAACAUCAAAAUUUGCACCCGUCCUACAUAUAAUUUUAGGCAAACAAUGAGUUUCACAUUGGGACAAAUUUGAAGAACAACCAUACGAAAUGGAACUCACUCUGUGCUUUUUGCACUUGACGAAAACCCAUCCGGGAUGUUUCGCGUGCUCGAAACGGGGCGCACCACCAGCCGUCAGCAGUGGUGACACUUGAUCAUCGGCAAAGGCUCGCCGAUGAGUUGUUGCGCAAUGGCUGAGCCCGGCCGACGGUCAACCGAGAUGUGAGAUGCGAGCGGCGAGCGGAUGAGGGCGUAUCAAAAUGUGGGUAGCGAUCGAGGUGGAUGCCGUAACAUGUGCAUCGAGUCCCUCCAAAGUGUCAGCGUCGGUGACUAGGUGCGUCAAAUCGGGUGACGACGGCGACGACUGUAGUCUCAGUGAUUUAUAGUCGCCGAUGACAAAAAUUCGACCAAAUCGAGGUGGGGGACGAGCGCGGUGGGUGCUUCAGGGAGUCGCCGGUAGCGCAUGGUGGCCGGCGGAGGCAAAUAGGGCUACGCCAGAGUGGACGCGAUGUGGGGUUAGGUGGGUGCAACCAAGGGUGGAGGGGAAGACUUUUAAAUCGGUCGGUUGGCGAGCGAGUCGAGGCGGCCGAGAAGUAUAAUUUUUACUCCUUUAAAACUUUUAAGGAAUCUUCCAUGUGCCAAUUAGGGAAGGAAAAAAAAGAAAUUUUACUCCUCUUAAGCAUUUUAUUAGGGGAUCGAUUAUGGUUGCUCUUACGGUAAGUUUUGUUUGCGUCCACAUCAUUUUUUGCUUCACCUGGAGUUGUCCUUAGGUAUUAUAAAUGUUUGUUUGGUUGCUGUUCUAUGAAAAAGAAAACUCACCUGGCAUAGAUUUCUUUGUACCGUAAUUAGCCUGGCUAGACUCAUUUGCACGGUAAUUAGCCUGGCUGAGGCGAUCAAAUUCGGACGCCUGGCCAUGCGGCCACAAGGCUAAGGCUACAUGGAGUGUAUCGAUGGGACGUUGACUUUUUGCCUGAGAGGCAAACCUGUUCUAUAUUUUUGCAGCUAUCAAAUACAAGAACGAAACCGACCCAUUUCUCUGGAAUGGAAGUGUUCAUGGUAUGGUUCAUUAACCAAGCACACCCUUCAUCACCACACAAGCCUGGUCUGUCUGGCAGGCUGGCAGGAAGAUUUUACAUCUCGCGUCCUUCAUCGUCGGACAAUAUAUCGACCCCACCCGUCAGAUACAGCCCGCUCUCUGCCCAAACGCCUAUAUUAGCCCGCCGCGCGCCCCCAUCCCCAAGCGCCAAAGCGAAAGCCACUUCCUCCUCGCCGCAGAGCUCCCAAAUCCCGCACCCGAGGAGGCGACUCUCCCGCGCGCGAGAGAGCGGGUCACGAGUCCUGCAGCGGCGGCGGCUGCGGUCACCGGCCGCAGAGCCAGCGGGCGACAUGACGGACGGCCACCUAUUCAACAACAUCUCCCUCGGCGGCCGCGUCGGCAACGUGAGUGCGCCUCCCCUGCCCCGGUCGAGUUCGCUCGCCGUGAUUCGAUUCGUUGUUUCGUUAGGGUUUUCCGCUCGACUGUUCGAUUCCGCGCUGGCGAGUUUGGCCGACGGGCUCGUCUAGCGGAAUUUGUUUAGCGGAUUUUUCAGAACGGCGCUUGUUUUUUCUAGGGUUUACACGCCAGGGUUUGUUUCCUCUCUGCGGUACGGAACUGCUCCAGAGGGUAAAUUUGUGAUCCGCCGUUGGUUGGAUUUGGACACCAAUGUUGGUCAGGCAAAAUGAAUAGUCCAUAUCCAAUUAGCUUGGGAUGGAACAGAUUGGAAACUCAACUACAACCAGGCACUAAUCUGGGGAUUCGAGGAACAUGUUCAUGCAAUAUAUAUAUAUAUAUAUAUAUAUAUAUAUAUAUAUAUAUAUAUAUAUAUAUAUAUAUAAAUGUCUUGUGCAAUUGCUACCAUCACCCAGGCGCCGUCCAUUUUGGUAUUCAUGUGUGCCAAUUUGUGCUAUGGCUGCACUGUAUUGGAAGAUCACAGCCAAUGGCCUUCAUAAUCACUUCUUAUUUACAGUUCGCACAUGUUCUUUAAGGAGUAUUCUCCUUAUCACUGUUUAGCAUGCCUAGAUGUGAUUGAAACACUUGUUGGUUCAUUUUAACGAAUAAGAAUUGUACGUUUGUGUUCAUUCGUGGUUCAUAUCUUUUUGAAACUUAGUGCUGACCCUAUUCCAAUUACUAUUUUGGUAAAAAGUACAUAGAUCAAUUCCAACAGAACCCCUAUUUUUUAUGGUUGUUGUUGAAUUGGUCACUGUUAGUGGCAUUACUGCGAUACUGAAAUUCUCGUCGUGCUGUUAUGGACUGAUGGUUUGUGCACUUGUAGAACCCUGGUCAGUUUAGGCUUUAUUCGGGAGGGCUUGCAUGGAAGAAGCAAGGUGGAGGAAAGACAAUUGAGGUUGAUAAAGCUGAUAUAAUUUCUGUGACGUGGAUGAAAAUCCCCAGAUCUUAUCAGCUUAGUGUUGGGACCAAAGAGGGCAUUCGGUACGUGUUCAAAGGCUUCCGUGAACAGGUAAUAGUCUACCAUUUCCCCCCAAGAAAUUAAUUGAUUGUAUACUUGACAUGAAGAGAUGCUAGAAAAUAAGAGAAGUUGUACAAUCACAGUUGCAUCUGCUUUCUGUGUCAAGUUUCAAUCUUUCUUGGAUAACUGAAACUCUAGUUGUAACCUGAGAAAUAUUUUGUUUAUAUUGUUUUGUAGGAUGUUAGUAACCUUACUAACUUCAUACAAAAGAACACGGGAACCACACCAGAGGAGAAGCAGCUCUCUGUUAGUGGCCAUAAUUGGGGCGCGGUUGACAUCAAUGGUUAGCUGAGUUCUCUAUAGUCUGUCUGGUAGUGGGUAUUCCAUUUCCUUUUUGGAAAAUUUGUUUCAUUUUCCCAUUCUCCCCAUUUUCAGGCAAUAUGCUUAGCUUUAAUGUUGGCUCAAAGGAAGCAUUUGAAGUCUCUCUAUCAGAUGUAUCACAAACUCAGUUGCAAGGAAAAACAGAUGUUGUUCUUGAGUUCCAUGUUGAUGAUACUACAGGGGCUAAUGAGGUAUGUUGUCUGCCUGUAUAUAUUGAUCAAAGUUACUCUGUAGUUUUGUAAAGUGUUACCUGUUUGGUUGGCUUUUGCUUACUGUUGCUGGGUGUAAAAAAGGUAAAUUUUUGUGUCUGAAUCCCAACAUUGGUGUGUAUAUUUAAACUGACAUCAGUUUUUUUACUCUCUUUAUAGUGACUCUUAUUAGUUUCCUUGCCUGUGCCUAUGUUUUUAAGGCGUCUUGCCUUGGACGCUUAGGCGAUAAGGCGCCCUGGCAGUGCCUUACAAAUAUGCCCGCCUUAGGCGCCUAGGCGUCCGCCUUAGGCGCUAGAGCGGGUGGUGCUCACCUUAGGUCGCCUUACCGCCUUAAAAACAUAGCCCUGUGCACGUAAAAGUUUAUGCGGCUAUAGCUGUUCUUUCAAUCUUGUUUUAGGCAUUUAAGGUCUAACUAGCUCCGGUGGUUAGACCAUAUACAUAGGAGAUACACUUUCCAAAUCUUCUAUUGCACAGAAUGUAAAUGCACCAUUGAGCACCAUCUAGAGGAUUCUGAUCGUUACCACAAAAAUCUUACAAAGAUCAUUAGUAAAACAAGUGAUUAUAACUCCCCUUUUCAUCAUUUUCUGCAGAAAGAUUCGCUGAUGGAUUUAAGUUUUCAUGUACCAACUUCAAAUACUCAAUUCCUUGGUGAUGAGGAACGUCCCUCGGCUCAUGUGAGUUCAUUUGAUAAGCACGAUAUGACACAACAUGCAUGCAUAUUUUGCGCAAAUAGUGAAAUGUUCUCUCUUCAGAUUUUUUGGCAGAAAAUCUUGGCUAUAGCUGACGUUGGCUCAUCAGAAGAGGCUGUUGUCUCAUUGGAGGGAAUUGCCAUUCUUACCCCAAGGUGAGAAAAUCUUGUAACUGUAGACUCUUUGCCUUUCCUAAAAUAAGCCUAUCCGUUUAUUUGUUUCAUUUCAUGCCAUAGCUAACUGCUUAUUUUUAAUUCAGAGGUCGAUACACUGUUGAGCUUCAUAUGUCAUUCUUGCGACUCCAAGGACAAGCUAAUGAUUUCAAAAUCCAGUAUAGCAGUAUUCUUCGGCUCUUUGUUUUGCCAAAGGUUCUACUACUUUCAUGCUUUGUGAACUAUCAAGAAUUCUUCGCCUUUGUAUACUGUCAAGAAGCUAAUAUGAUUUCAUGCUUAUACUUUGUGCCCUUCAGUCAAACAACCCUCAUACAUUUGUGGUCAUCACACUUGAUCCGCCAAUUCGCAAAGGACAAACAUUAUAUCCCCACAUUGUUAUUCAGGUAUAGUAUUAUGAUACAUUUCACACGAACUUGGCUACAGUUCUUGUAUGAUACUUAAUAACUGGUUCCUUUAUGAACAGUUUGUGACAGAGAAUGUAGUUGAGAAGGAGCUGUCAUUAAGUGAGGAGGUUUUGGCUGAAAAGUACAAGGACAGGCUGCAGAGUUCUUACAAUGUGAUAUUCUUAUUCACUUAAUGGCUGACUUUCCUUGCAUCUCUUUUAAGUUUAACACGACCUAUUUCACCUCAAAGUUGAUCACAGCUCUUGUUUUUUUUUGUAAACUUUGAUCAUAGCUUGUGUUGAUUUUGUUUUCCUUUGUCAGCGUUACAUGCUUUAAUUAUCAAGUGCUCUGAACUAUUAUUGAUUAAUACGUACAAGAAAUGAUGCCAGAAUUAAUAAUACAUACCAAUAGAACAAUACAAGAGUUAAUGACAUACUACUCAUAAAGCAUACUGUAUAUAUUAGUGAUUAUGUACUGUUGAAACACCAGCAGUAACCCUCCAAUGCACUUAUUACCUAACUCUUGGGGUUUAUCAGAAAAUGAUCUGUGUUUAUAUUUGUACAAUUUCAUUCAGUACUUAAAUCAUAGAGCUACUGACAUGCAUAUUUUCUGCUUGCAAGUAUGUUUAGUUGAAGAAUGCUUUACUGAACUGAAUUAAAUAUUACCGAUCAUUUGUGUCCUGAUCAGAUGAUUGCCCCCCCUAUAUUCCGUUUUCUACUUGUGCACUUGCUCUUCAUUUACAGUUUUCUGGGAUCUUGAUUUAUUAACUCACAAAAUGUUUGAUUUAUACAUAGGGUCUAGAACAUGAGGUAUUCUCCAAAAUUCUUCGUGGCCUGUCUGGUGCUAAAGUGACGAGGCCAAGCACAUUCCGCAGUUGUCAAGAUGGAUAUGCCGUGAAAUCAUCACUUAAAGCUGAAGAUGGAUUGCUGUAUCCUCUUGAAAAAGGCUUUUUCUUUUUGCCAAAGCCCCCGACACUCAUUCUGCAUGAGGAGGUCUGCUUUCUACAUUUCUGACAUGCCUAAUUGUUCUUCAUCCAUUUGUCCUCUGCUAAGCUGUUAUUUACUGCAGAUCGAGUAUGUUGAAUUUGAGCGCCAUGGUGCUGGUGGUGCUAGUAUGUCAUCUCACUAUUUUGAUCUCCUGGUCAAGCUAAAGAAUGACCAAGAACAUCUCUUCAGAAAUAUACAAAGGAAUGAAUACCAUAACCUCUUCAACUUCGUCAGGUAAAUGCUGAUGUCUUGUUGAUUUAAUCACUGGCAUACUAUUUAAUUCGUUUGGGGAUGAUAAGUUCUUGUUUCUUUCCUUCAAGUGGUAAGAAUUUGAAAAUCCUGAAUCUUGGAGAAGAUGGCCAAGAUAGAACUGGUGCAGUUGCGGCUGCUCUUCAGAGCACUGAUGAUGACCCUGUUGAUCCACAUCUGGAGCGAAUUAAAAAUCAGGCCGGUGAUGAAGAAAGUGAUGAAGAGGUAUUGCGUGUGUGCAAUCUUUGCUCUUGCUUGCCUAUAUGGUGACGGAGUAGAAUGCGUAAUUUGUUUACUUGUAAAUCGUACUGUAACUUAUUCCAACUUCAGGACGAAGAUUUUGUGGCGGACAAGGACGACAGCGGAUCCCCUAGUGAUGAUUCUGAAGAGGGUUCUGAUGCCAGCAUAAGCGAUGGAGAAAAGGAGGUAACUAAAUUACUCUUGACAGUAUCCGUAAGAAAACUUACCUGAACCAAAACACAUGUGGGGCAAGCCACUGCUUUGAUAACUUCUUGUUUCAGAAAUCUUCCAAAAAGGAAGCUAGUAGCUCAAAGCCACCUGCGAAGAGGAAACCAAAGAAUGUGGACGUGGAAGGUUCAGAGAAGAGAAAGCCGAAGAAGAAGCAGAAGAAAGAUCCCAAUGCCCCUAAAAGAGCAAUAGCACCAUUCAUGUAUUUCUCAAAGGCUGAGCGAGCUGUAAGUUACUUGCACCCAUCCAUAUUAAAAUUUUCUGCUUUCAUGGUUGACAAAAUUGUAAUCUGAACACGUACCAGCUCCAUCCCAAACUGCAUCAAACCAAUACCAAUAGAUGCAUCAUGAAACAUGUUUUUCAUAUGUACUCCCUCCGUAAACUAAUAUAAGAGCGUUUAGAUCACUACUUUAGUGAUCUAAACGCUCUUAUAUUAGUUUACAGAGGGAGUAUUUAUUUGGUAUUACAGAUAGCUAUUAUUUCUAUGAACUUGGUCAAACUUAAAUAAGAGUAUCCUGCAUUGUUUUUGACGAAUUUUAGUUCAUUCUGUGUUGCAGUCUAUGGUUUCUAUGUUAGGUUGUAGAAUUAUUUGCUAUUCUUUCUCAAGACAUUUGGCGUGUGCUGUCAAAUUAAGCAAACAGUGGAUCUUUGAUUGACAUUUUUCUAAUGCAGAAUUUGAAGAACAUCAACCCUGAACUCAGCACCACGGAUAUUGCAAAGAAGCUUGGAGAGAAGUGGCAAAAGAUGUCAGGUAACAUGUCCUAAGUUACAAUGGCAGUAUGGUGCAGUUCACACUGUCAGUUUUUUUUAAGGAAAAAAUAACUCGUGUUAAUCAUUUCCAAUUGUCAUAUUUGCAGCUGAGGAGAAGCAGCCAUACGUUGAGCAGUCCCAAGUGGAUAAGAAACGCUAUGCAGAGGAGUCUGCUGCCUACCGCGGCGCUGGUGCGGCUCCUGUAGACGUGGACUCUGCAGAUGGAUCGUCCGAUUGAAUUGGAAGAUUGGCCGUUGUUGAAAGGAGCAUACUUUCGAGUCAUGGUACAAGUAGGCAUCCGAUUUAUCUUGGCUGUAGUGACUGUUGAGGUGUGAUCCUUACCGUUUCUGAGUGAACGAAGAACAGUUAGGAUAUGUAGGUUCCAAGGUAAUGUUUGCUUUGCUACGAGCUGUCAGCACAUGUGCCAGGUGUUUUAUUCGCACGCUGCUUGUGCAACUUUUUUUCUGCAAAAUACUCAAAUCUUCAUCGGAAUUACAAAGCAUACAAAACAUAAUAAAAAUUACAUUGAAGUGCUUGAACCAUUAAAUGACUAA